rnacentral:lncRNA from 1 species
CCUGCGGUCAAGAUCAGCUGGGAUUGCUGGCGGCUAGAGCUUUUUGCCUCUAAUUGUGUGGCAGCAGCUCGCCACUCGUCAAAGAGUAUGCCCAUAUUGAGCAUAUCGGUGCUUGUGUUAGGAGCUGUCCAAGCAAAAUCUAGGCCCUGAAAGCCAUAAAGCCUAGCUAUUCUUAUUGAAGAGUCGAUGAAAGAUUUUCUGUGAGAAGAAUUUCUCACCAUUGAAGAAUAUAUAGAAUUGUUUGUAUAUAUUCCUCGUCCAAUGGAGAGAAGUGUAGUGAUUGAUGGGUUCUUUUGUUUCACAGCGUCUAUAAAUUUGGGGAAUAUUUGAUUUCCAUCAAACGGUGAUGAUAAAGAUAGCUGGUAAGUGGUGGAAUUGAUAUCAGCGUAAGAGCAAAUAAGGUGAGUGAAGAGAUCAUAAUUUAUGCGCGAAAUGGCGGACACUUCGCCUGAAUACAAGUAACCGACCCUGAUCCACGGUUUUGCUUUCGCGGGAUGAAGUUCUGAAUAGAACAACAUGUGGAAGAUGAUGCUGAUAAUUAUGGAUGCCAUUUGAGAGGCUUAAGCUUCUUAAUUACCACUUCGAUGGGAAUGGAAAUGAAUGCACACUAAGAGAAAUUAAAUAAACACAAGUUUCACAGUUCAUUAAGUUCUCAUGUGUACUACACAUACAUUGCAUGUUAAGAUGAUGAUGGGCGAUGCGACCAUUGCCGGAGAACUAAGAUUUUCUUCUAUCGCCUGUGUGACUUUUCAUGAAGAAACAUGAUGUUUUGAUUGACAUUUGGUUAAACUGAUGACAUAUUUCGGGCUACAAAUAUUAGUAUUGUUUUAUUAAAUAAAAAUAAUAAUAAUUAUACGUGCAUGUUGAAGGUAAUAUUGCAGUCUUUUGAGCCUGUGUUGAAUUUCAUUCAUUAUUACGAGCGUUCAUUUAUUAUCCAUCCCCUUUUUUCUCUGUGAGUCUGCUAGCUGUAGUCAUCUUAAAAGGAUAACAUGUUUAAUGCGUGUAAAUGCACCUCAGAAGUAGUUAAGAAAGACUUGAUCAAACCAGAUAAUUUUCCUCUUAACACAGAAGUAGUUAUCGGACUAAUUAAGAUUCUAAUCCAUUUAAGAAAUAUUCAAAAAGGGUUAUUGUCACUACUUUAGUCCUUGUUGUUUUAUUAAAGAAAGAAACAAAGAAAAAAAAAAGAAGAUAUUUAAAGAAGCAUCACAUAAAUCCUUCCUAAUUAGAUUUUGUUUCAUUCAAGUUCUUGACUUAAUUUGACUGCUUGGAAAAAUUAGUAAAAAGGUAACAAUUAAAAAAAAUGUAAAUUCUAGUUAUUAGACUAAAUAUAUAUAAAUUUGCAACAAGUAGCAAAAGUUUAGAAUAUGAAAAACCCUAUUUUGUUUACGAAAUAAAGAAAAUUCGAAUCAUUUUUAAAAAAAAAAUCUCUAAAAGUUUGAAAACUAAGAUUUUAAGGUCCUUCUAGACUAACCAUAAAUAACAUGAAUUUACCAAAUUAAGCAAACUUGAAUUAUUAUUACACAAUAAAAUUUAACUAAUGGAAAUAAGAAAACAAAAUAAAUAACACUCAAAUUCGAUAUCUAAAAAAUAAAGAUAAAAAUAAUGAAAGCAAUAGAAAAAAUAAAAUAAAAUAAAAUAACUAAAACUUGCAAAAUGACCAUGAAAGAAAUAAUUUUUUUUUGCUGAACCAAAGGGCCGAUACGUAUAGCCCUAUUGUACUAGAUUCAUCUCGCCGCAAGUUUCAAAACAAUAUAUUAUAUGUUUUAAACGAACUCUUAUAAAUUAAGUUAUGACCUUAAAAAAAUUCCUACUCAUCUUACAUAAACAUCCUAUGUCACUAUAUAGUUAUACAAUAAUAAUAUAAUCCAAACACUCAUGAAGCAUAACUCAUGCACCUCCACUAAUAACCGUGAAAUUUAAUCACAUUUUACAAGAGAGAGGAAUGUUCUCAUUUAUUCGAUUUUCUGCUAGGUUGUGUUAGGUUGGGCUUUUUAGAAUUUCUUUGACGAAAAGUCAUUCUCUUCAACGGCCAAAACUUGGGCUAGUGGGCAAUUAUGAAAGUCCAUUGGAUGCAUUGGACCAAACUAAAAGUCCAAAUUUUUUUUUAUUCUUGCAAAAAAAAACUAUAUCUGUAUAUUCUGUUCAACAAUCCAAAACUUGGGCCAAUGGGCAAUUAUGAAAGUCCAUUGGAUGCAUUGCAUCAAACUAAAAGUUAUAUAUAUAUAUAUAUAUAUAUAUAUAUAUAUAUAUAUAUAUAUAUAUAUAUCAAUAAAUGAAAUGACACAAUACAGUUGGCUUGCCGUUGCAAAGCUUCUUUGUUUGUUAUUAUUUAUUGGCUUAUUGCAAUAAAGACUAAAGAGAGCUUUGAGCCAUGCAGCAUGGGAAGCUCCAUUAAAAAAAAUAAAAGAAUUUAAAGCUUCAAGGACAUAAAGCGUGCCCACCCAAUUAAAUUUUUCUUUAAAAAAGAAAAAAAAAAGGCUGAAAUUGCAAUGACUUGAAUUUAUCAUCAAUUCUGGCUUAAUUUGCCCCCCGUCAUUUUUUCAAGGAGAAUGUCCAACUCAAUUGUGACGGCUACUGCUUCAAUUUUAAUUUUAUUUUUCUCAAGAAUAGUCAUUUUCAUCCACCAUAUUCCUGCAUCCUGAUGCGUCCUUAUUGCUUAUAUUAUUAUAGACCACUUUUGGAAGCAUAACAAUUUUUGCACACAUGGUCUCCAUCUUGCGGACCCAAAUGUUGAUGAUAUACUUGCAUGCUCCAAAAUGAGCCCUUUUAAUAACUUAUCAUCUGGUAAAUGAUAGUUUAUUUAUUUAUUACAUUUAAUAACUUAUCAUCUGGUAAAUGAUAGUUUAUUUAUUUAUUACAUAACAAAUAUGUUAUGCCAUAUGCCACCUAUUAGUGAAAGAUGUUUAAAUAACUACUCUUGUAGUAAACUCCUGAAUGAUGGCAAGUUAGAUUUAGACUUAAUGCACUAACUUCGAUAUAUAUUUUUUUUUUUUACAUGGUAAUUAUUUUCUUCUCGCUAGGAAGUUGCAAUGAUUGAUAAUACGGGAGCAUUUUGCUUUAAUACAAUCCUUAAUUGAAGAGUUUCUAGAGAUGUUUAUUAUUAUUAUUAUUAAUACCGCGUUGGUCAGGAUUUGAUUACUAUAAUAUUGACGAUUCGAUUUCUAACAAUUUUGUUUAUUAUAAAAUUAAAACAAAUGAGUAGUCAUCUAGAAAAUCAUAAUCUCUUUAAAGGCAUCAAAAGGCAAUGGCAAUGUAAAAUGAAUGUGAAUCUAUUAGUAACAUGUUUACACGUGUAUUAAUCUUAAAAUAUUUAAAUAAAUAAACCAUAGAUUCUUGGUUCCAAUAUGAGCUUUAUAGUUAAGGAGACCCACUGCGUAUGAUGGACUAGUGAGUUGUGAGAGAAAUCUCUUAGGCCGAAAGAAUCUUAAUCAAAUCGUAUCAUCAUAAAAAAAUUCCAAAUUUUGUUUUCUUCUUUUGACAAAAACCCUCGUUCAAAAUGAUUCAUAUAAAUUUAUCAAUAAAAGAUUUUGAAUCAAUUAGAAAAUGGAAUUGUCUUGCGCACAUCUUUUGCUCGAUCGUUCAGUCCUUAAUCAUGUUUUAAUUAUAACCCAAACACGACAAUGACAUGUACGAUCUACAUAAAUCCUCGAUAUUAAUUGUCAAUUGGUUCUGCGAAUUCAAUGUGCAAAGUCUCACAAGUCAUAAUAAAUUUAGGAAUGAAAAGUACGAGCGGGUAGCAAGAAACCAUCACUCAAUUCCAAUUGAUAUGUACACUUCAUUCAUUUUGUCUUUUACAUAAAUGGAAAAACUAAAAAGCGUAACAAUUAUUAAACACAUGCCCACUGCCCUGCCACUCGGCCAAAGAGGGGCCGUUGCUCUCUUACAUUGGUUCAAUGAAGGGAUUCAUUGAAGGGUGUUUCGACGACGGGAGCGGCAUUAAGAUGAGUGAUCACUUGAAAAAUCUUUGAAUUGUACCUCUCUUUUUAAACCAACGAGCUCGUAGAUCAGUUGGUAUAGAGUUGUUUUAUUAUAAUUAAAAUUUUAGGUUUAAGGUUUGAAAAUGCUGUUAUGUUAAAAUAUUUGUUGGGAGAAUUUUGUCAUUCUAGCGUUCAUAUCGGAUUCGAAUCUGAAUUAAUCGGAGUUUAAUAUAGUCUUUGAAUAUCAUAUGAUUUAAUACACAAAAAAAAUGAAGGAAUUCAUCUCUCAAUUAUUAUUAAAAAUAAAAAUGCGGGAUGUGUAUUUCAGUGUAAAUAAUGACAAUAAUAAUAAUACAACACAUCCCCAUCAAAAUCUCCAUCAAAAACCUAGCUGAUGCUGAUGCUGAUGCUUCUGCAGAUUCUGAUUCCCCCUCCCUUUUAGCCCAGGAAGCAGAUGAUGACAGCAUCACGGUACAAGGAAAGAAAGAAAGAAUAUCAUUAUACUCCCACAUCUUCUUAAACGUUGUGCCCUCUAUAUGCACAUAUGCAUGUACAUAUUAAUUAUUAUCAUAUUGUAGUAAGUAAUGUUUUAGCUUUCGACAUUAACAACAUUGUGAUUAAUCAUAAUGCCACAUUAUACAGUUCAAAUAUGAAAGGUUAUGAAAUUAACUUCUAUAUACAAAUGCGUUACAUAAAGUGCGCGACAUCGUUCUUUUUAAUACAUACAGUAAAUUAAUGAAUAAUCAUUCGUAAAAAAAAAAUGUUGUCCGAUAGUGAAUUAGCUAUACAAGUAGAGCCUCUACAAAUUAACAGGGUGAGACCAUAUGAAAUCUAUUAAUUAAAAAAGAGAUUAAAUAAUCAAUAAUUUAUUAAUUUAUUAAUUUACAGAGUUAUUUAUAAUUCAAUUAACAUACAUCAACAAUACUUCAUAAUUUCCUAUUACAAUUUGAGAAGUCAACCGCAGGGCUUCUAGGUGUUAAGAAAAAUAAGAGAUUGAGGUCCAAUUAGAUUUAAAUUUUAAGAAAAGAACAAGUAACAAUAUAAUCAUAUUUUAUGUAAGUAAGUGAUAAUAGAGUCAUAUUUUAUUCAAUUAAAAUAUUAUAGUCAACUACAUUUAUAAUUUCAGUAAAUUAUUAAUUUGUGAUUUGAAUAAGACGAUAAAGUUAUAUAAAUUUUUUAAAAAAAAUUAUUAUCGCAUUAUUUUAUUAAAAUUAUUAAUUUUAAUGUAUUGUCAUAAAAUUGUGUGAAUUUGUUAUAUAAUAGAUAUUAUUAAUUUACCGAAUAUCAAUUGAUAGAGAUUUUAUAGCAUGAGUACCUAAAUUUUGACGAAAUAAAUGAACAUUUGUUUGUACCUUGCAGGUAUGUGUCCGUUUAAUAAUAGUAUAAUGUACUUUUUUUCUUUUUUCCUUCUUACGACAAAAAGUUAAGUAGAUUUUGAGGUCCAGUCGUAAAGAGACAACUUGGGUAAUUGUGUUUUUUUGUAAUGUGCGCAAUUGCUAGCUUUUCCGAUGAUUUUGAUUUGGGAUUGCGUUGUAUAAUUUGCACAAUCAUCUCCUUCACCUUUGGAUUCUGUAUCUCUCUAUUUUGUGCUCUUUCUCUCUGAAUGGUAGCCACAUAUACGACUCUCUUUGCUCUGAAUACAUGAAAUUAAGGGUGGGCGCGGUUCGGUUCGGUUCGGUUUUUUACUAAAUUUUUCAUAAUCGUUCGAUUACGAUUAUUUUAAAAUCAUAAUCGCGAUUAAUCAAAUUACUGAAAUAAUCAAAUACUCAAUUAAUUGAAAUAAUUUGAUUCGGUUCGGUUCGAUUAUUUCAAUUAUAGGCCUAUUGGGCCUAUUUUGAGCUUUUUUAAAUUUAAAACCUUAAAUUAAUAAAUCUACCACAAACAUAAAAAGUUAACAAACAAAAAAUCAAAAAUAUGUCUCGAACAAUGUUCAAAUAACAAGUUCAAAUCAAAAUAAAUCAUAAUCCCAAUUACUCCUCAGUUGCUUGUUCUUGUUGAGCUAGUAUUGGCCUACCAAAUUCUACAUUAACAAAUUAAAAAAAAAUGUUAGAAUGAUUAGUUAAAAGUGAAAUAAUCAAAACAACAUAUCAAAAUAUAGUAGUAACAUAUUACCUGCUUCAAUAACUUCAUAGAAUUCAGUUCCCUCUUGAGUAGGUUGUAUUAUCCGUUCUCCUAAUAGAGUUGAGCAAAGCCAAUUUUGAGUGCAAAUUAAUGACUCAACAGUUUUAUGAGUUAAAGAACUUCUAAAAGGAUCAAGAACACGCCCUCAUGUGCUAAAUGCCGAUUCCGAAGCUAUAGUAGACACUGGAAUUGCCAAAACAUCCUUGGCAAUCUGAGACAAAAUUAGAUACCUAUGCCCAUUCAACUUCCACCAAGUCAAAAUAUCAAAAUGGGCAUUACUAGUACUCUCAUUAGCAUCCGUCAAGUACUUUUCAACAUCAUUUUUCGAACUAAUGUCAUCAUUUGAACUUUGCUUCAUCAUUUUGAAAGAUGAAAAAAGAUCAAUUGACAUUAUACUACUACUAGCACUAGCACCACCACCACCACCACCACCACCACCACCACCACCACCACUACCACUACCACCAUCAUGGAUAUCACCAAAACAAACACCACCACUAUUCCUCACAUCACUCCCACCAAUAUAGCUAUUAUAUAGCUUCAUCAACAACUCCUUAAUAUUAGAUUUCAAUUCUUCAACCUUCCUAGAUUCAUACAUGUUACUAAAACAAAAUGUAACAAACUCUAAUUUACAUCUAGGAUCAAACACAUUUGCUACAAAUAAUAACAUGUUAACCUGAUCAAAAGAAUCACCACUACCACUACCACCAUCAUGGAUAUCACCAAAACAAACACCACCACUAUUCCUCACAUCACUCCCACCAAUAUAGCUAUUAUAUAGCUUUAUCAACAACUCCUUAAUAUUAGAUUUCAAUUCUUCAACCUUCCUAGAUUCAUACAUGUUACUAAAACAAAAUGUAACAAACCCCAAUUUACAUCUAGGAUCAAGCACAUUUGCUACAAAUAAUAACAUGUUAACCUGAUCAAAAGAAUCACCCCAAUAUUUAGCAAACAUUUGUUCCAUUUUUUCGACCAUUUUUCUUAACAAAUCAUCACUAGAAGUAGCAAGUGACUUCAAAUUAAUUAGAACUUUUGCCAUUUCAUUUAAGAAAUCAUUGGAAGUGACAACAAGAGAGCUACUAAAUUUCAAGGUCACAUAAUAAAAAACCGAUAAAAAUUUGACUAACCUCCUUGCAUUUCCCCAAUCGUCAUUGCUCGGUGGCCCUUCCCUCUUUUUUUCACCCUCCUCCUCAACAAACCAAUUAACAUAAUGUCCAUCAUCUUCCUUCAUCCUAUCAAAUGCUUUUUCAAAUACAAUCGCCUUAUGCAACAUCAAAUAUGUUGAAUUCCAUCUAGUAGGCACAUCCAACACCAUAAGCCCUCCAUAUGAGAUUUUCUCCCUAUCAACACAUGUUUUAAACUUUUGCAAUCUUACUGGAGAGGAUCUAACAUACUUUACUGCAUUGCAAAUACUAGCUAUUGAAUUAUUCACCUCCACCAACCCAUCUUGCACAAUCAAAUUUAUUAUGUGUGCCGAACACCUCACAUGCAUAUAUAUACCAUUCAAAAUCAUUGAAUUCACACUCCAAUUUGCUAACUUCUUCUUCACAUAAGUUAUUGCAACUUUAUUGGCACUUGCAUUGUCCACUGUAAUUGUGAACAACCUCUCAAUCCCCCAAUCAAUCAAAUAUGUCUCAAUUAGCUUCCCAAUACCAUCUACUUUAUGAGUAGCUAUAGGUGUGAAACUAAGAAUCCUUUUGUGCAACACCCACUCCGCAUCAAUAAAAUGAGCAGUAAUAACCAUGUAGUUAGACAUUUGAAUUGAUGUCCACGUAUCUGUGGUAAUACACACCCUCUGCUUGCUUGCACCCAAGACACUUUUUAACAACCCUUUUUCAUGUUGAUACAAUUCAAGAAUAUCCCUUAUAAUUGUUCUUCGCGAUGGCACAUCAAAUCUUAGGCAACAAGUUUGCAUAAACUCUAAAAACCCUUCGGCCUCCACAAAGCUAAAAGGUAAUUCAUCAUUGACAAUCAUCUUCACAAGUGCCAUUCUACAAGCCUCUUGACUAAAUCCGCCACUAACUUUAACAACUCCAUCAUCUUUAUCUUUUCCCUUUUGACGGAAAAGUACUUGUUGCUUCAGAUCCCCUUCAACCUUUACAUCUUGAUAUGACCUACAUCUAUCCAAAUGAUUCUUCAAAUUAGUGGUAUUUCCUCUAUUAGCUACAAAGGUUUUACGGCAAUGAUGACAUUUUCCUUUGUUUCCACAAGAUAGUUUGGUAAAAUGAGCCCAAAUAUUUGAUCUCAAAGGUAUUUUUCUUUUUUUCCCAUCAUCAACCUCCACCUCUUGCACUUCCUCCUCAUCAUAAUUUUCCAUUCUUCACAAAAAAUCAACAUCACAGCAGCAAUAAAUCAACACAAGAGCAGCAACAAAUAAAAAGAACCUGAUGCUCAAUAAUUCUACUAACUAAUAUCAAUUGUACGCACAGAGAACAAUAUAUGUACAAGAAUUGAUUCCCAUAUUAAUUGAUAAAUAAAGCCAAAUAGAUAAAAAUAUGGGAUUUGUAUAAUGCUUUACAAUGCAUAAGAUAGUAAAAAUAUUAAAUAAGGGCUUUGCACCCCAUUUUAUAUGUACGCACAACACUUCACUAGUACAUGAUACUUUUCCACAAGUUCCCACAAGGGGAUCAAGCAGCCAAGAAUGCACAAACUGGAGGAAUGAGGUUAAUAGCAAACAAACUAUGUAGGUACAGCCAAAAAGCCGCUGUGAAGAUAUCAGAAUUAGAUGACAACCCUAAUUAACAAGCUUUACUACACCUGUAUGGACAGUAACAAUAGCUGCAGCUAUUCUAAGUUUUGGAUUCCAUCCCCAAAUGAUGUCAACAGAGGUGCAAUAUUAGAUGGUCUAGGAACAAGUCUCCGUUAAGUAUGCAAAAGGAUCUGAAGACACUAAUGCGAAAAUCACAAAAAAAAAAAAAAAUGGAGCGAAAUGCGGUGCUACAAAGACAUUGAUGUUCCUGAACAUUUACUUUUCAUUUGUUUUGUUGUAGUUGUAGUAAUAGGUAUAUCUGUAGCUGCUACGUAGACCUUAGGCAACAAAUGCCACGAACAUGAACCUAGUGACUUUUUGUGUGUGCGGACUUGAACUUAUCUACAUUUCUAUAUCACAAAAGAAGACUACACAAGCAGAUACUUGUGAAAACAAAACACUUCAAAUGGUCAAUAUCACUAAGUCACUUCCCAGAUCUGAAAAAAGCCUCCAUUCUACUUCAACUCAACAUUAUCAUCACUUAGAACAUCAACUUACAACAAGCCAUCACAACACAUACACAAGAAAUUUAAAUCAAAGCAGAAUAAGUUGAAAUCACAAGGCACAACCAAAUGAAUAAUUUGCAUUCCAGCAAAAUUUAAGUUCGAAAAAUGAUUAAGGCUGCGAUACACAGCCUGCUGGGGAAAGUGGCCCUUCCAUGUUGCCCAUCACGUGGUGAAAAGAAAAAGAAAAAAAAAAGAGAGAAAGAAAUGAAGAAUCAACUCACAAGUUGUAGCUUUGUGGAGAUCACGAUAUUUCCAGAUGACAGCGGCUACGGCGACGAGCAGCAGCGACGGAUACUCAGCGACGAGCAGUAGCGACGGAGACUUGGCAACGAGCAGCAGCGGCAACAGCAAGGACCAGCAGCGCGGAGACAAGCGACGGGGGCGAGAUUCUAGCGGCUGAAGGUCACGAGUUCAGUGGCUCAAGAUCAGAACUCAGAACUGAAGGAAUCUGAAGUGGACAAUUGGUUUAGAGAAUUAGAGUCACUAGGUUCAGGGAUUUCGGAUUUCGGUUUAUUUGAUAAUUGGUUCGGUUUUGCGGUUUUUUUUUUAAAACCGAACCGACUGAUUUUACUAUUUUUACUAUAUUACUUAUUCGGUUUUUUGAGUGUAAAAAAACCGCAAAAAAAACAAAACCGAACCGAACGGUUCGGUUCGGUUUUUGAUUAAUCAACUUUUUUUGCCCACCCCUGAUGAAAUAGGCUUUAGUUAUUUUACAUGAUCAUGUAAAUUAUUCUUGUAUAGUUAUUAAAUAAAAAUUAAAAAUAAUAAAAAUAAUAAGAUUUUAUUAUUUUAUAUUUCCACAGCUGUUGAAUUUUCAUCAAACGAUUAUGAAAAAAUCAUAUAUUUUAUAUGAUUACCCUUUUUUUAUGAUAACAAUCUCUCGUAAAAUAAUUGAUCACCCUUUUUUUUUAUGAAAAAUUGAUAUACUUGCUUACACACAUGACAUAUUCUCCUUGGAAGUAAAGAAAAAAUUUCCAUUAUUCUGCAUUGUGCAUCACAGUCCUGACAGCGUUUUAGGCUCUGUAAAUAGCAAGAAAAUAAUUUGUUUUCUUAUUUCCUUUUGCUAAUUGACAAAAUGAUGAGAAAAAAAAUGAAAAAUAAGGAAAAAAAAGUUUCUAUUAUAACAAGAAAAUAAAGAUUAAAGUAAAAUGCCAUGACACGUAGAAUUCUCUAAAACGAUAUCUAAAUUGAAAAGUGUAAUAAAUAAUUCGGGGAAGCUUGAAAAAUGUAACAACAAAAUUUGUGUCAAAUAAGAAUAAAAAUAAAAACUUAUUGGAUGGAGCCAAUAAAGUUUAGAAAGAUUUUUAUUUCGCUUAAGUUUAUAAUUUAGAGUCACAAGCAACAAGUUCGUAAACAACAUGAAUUUUUGAGGAUUGCAAUAAAAAUUGUGAUUGAUAACAACAAAUUUACAAUUAAUAAUUAAUAACAAACAAUGGCUACGUGGGUAUUUUCCAAUUUACGGAGCCUCAAGGGCCAAGGUUGACCUAAUAUUGCCAUAUAAAAAUAUUUUUUUAAAAGAAAAUAAAAUAUGAUCUAAAAGAAUGUGUACCAUGAUAUAAUUGAUAAAAUUUUCAUUCUUUCAAGUUCUAAGAGAGUCUAAGAGAAACGUGAAAGGCUUAAAGUGCAUAAUAAUAAUAAUAAAAGGAGAAAUUUUAAAUACUUCAGAUAUAUUACAACCACCACUUUAAUACAACCACUAUAUUACAACCACAUAUAUCAUGUCAUUAUUUGUUUGUUGUAUGACUGACAUGGUACAUCAGAUGUAUUCUAGAAUUUCUCUAAUAAAAGAGACAUGUGAAAGUGAGAGCAAUAAAAAAAAUAAAAUAAAACCCCUAAAUUGGAAACUUUUAAAGAAUAGUGAUGAUUGUCGAAGCCAACAAAAAUAAAUACCUACUCUAAAUAAAUUGUGUAUAGUGAUUGAGCUGGAUCGUGUCCACAGAGAUUGGUAAUUAUUUAAAUCCUUUUAACACGUAAAACAUAAAAUGGGGGUUUUGUUGACAAUAAUAAAAAUCAAAUUAAAAUAACAAGAAUGCAAAUUAAAGUUGUAAUUCAAAUUGGAGAAAGCUCUGGUUGAAGGAAUUAACUCAGCUUGAUUCGACUACUGAUCAUUGAUUCAAAUAUAAAUUAUUACUACUUAUGAAUAGACCGGUUAUAGCUACUGAGACCCUCUAAUAGCCAAUCUCUCCUUAACUAGUCGAUAACCAAGGUACGAUCGUUGGUUAUUUCCCUAAUCAAUAGACAACCCUAGAUACGAUCAUAUGAUUUAAUCAAUUGACAGCCUGAAAAACCAGAGAGACCCAAAUCCUAAUCAACAAACGCAUACGAUGGUUCAUUUAAAUUAGAUUGUUUAUUCUCAUAACACAACUCACUGCUAUGUUAUUUGUCACAAACAUUAAAAUCUUCAUACGAUAAAUCCUUUAAUUGACAAUAGAUUAAGUUGAUAAUUAAAUAGUGGCCAGUUAUCUAAUUAACAAACAUAAUCAUGAAAAUAAUUCAGAGAAUAAACAAAUACCAAAAAAGUAAUAAAACAAUUAAAGCAUAAGAAAGAUCUCACAGUAGUGAUGAAUCAAAGCUUCAUUAACCUUCAACCAGAAUAAUAGAUUUAGUUCUUCAUAGAGAGAAUAGAAAAAUUUAGAUCUAGGGUUUCUUUCUUUUCUCCAAUCCCCCUUUUUUUCACAAUAGAUUCCUCCCUUAAAUACUCUCUCUCUCUUCUCCUCUAGAGUUCUAUUUAAAAUAAAAUACUAAUAUCUAAAAUAUUAAAUUCGUAAUUACAAAAAUAACCAAAAAUACAAAACACGUUAAACUAAAAACUGUAGGUCCGUAGUUGACAGCACGCGCCCACGCCUUAUCAAUAAAGUUCUUCUGACGCUCAUUAUUUCUUCAAAAGAACAAUCAUCCUUAAACAUCAUCUUGUAGCUCAAUUUUAGCACCAAUCAAUAGAAUUGCACCUAUAAAAGUAAAACACAAGUAAAUCACUAUUAUUAAGUGCAAAACAUCGAUAUUAAGGGAAGCAAACAAUGCAAAACUAGUGCAUAAAUUGCACUCUAACAAAUUCCCCCACACCAAGAUGAUGCUUGUCCUCAAGCAUAUAACUCAAGACUAAUCACAAAUCUCCGCUCAAUUCUCAUCUCAACUCAUCCAAAAACAAUUUUAAGCAAGCAUACCUCAAGAAAUUAAGUCGAUCAUCAUUCGAAAGACAAGGAUUUUAAAGCAUAGAAUCUCAUAAGAUAGAAGAAGAACAUUCAACCACCAAGAAGAUCCAUUCAAAAUUCAACUGCAAUAAGAUUUAAUAGCCCUCUCAUUGACUUCACUCCAUUCACUCAAAGUGUUUAGGGUAUCAUUUAUGCACUCAAAUCAAAUCAAAUAAUGCUAUUACCAUAAGCUUGCUCAUAUAUCACAUCUCAAUCCACAAAACAUGAAUAAAAUGCAAAAAUCUAAGGGUCUUAAAAAGGUUGUAAUGGGGUUAAAUAAGUUAAAUGAAAAAGAAAGGUCUACGAAAGAAAAAGAGAUCAAAAUGAGAAGAAUGAACUCAUUGAAUGAACUUAUGAUAUCAAAAUGCUUAUUUCUACUCAAGUCACCAAGAAUGUAAACAUUUUUUUUCUUUUUUUCGAUUUUUGUCUUUUUUUUCUUUUUUUUUAAUCAAAAGAAAAGAAACGAACCUUGCACAAUUUAAUUCAAGCAUAAUGCUUGUUGAUCUAAUUGAGAAACUUUAAUACAAGGUAGAAAAAGCAACAAAAUAUAUACAAAAUAUAUCCGCACAAUGAGUCCAAAAAUCUCCUUAAAUUGAGGCUCAAAAAGAAGAAAAAUUGUUAAGUAGACAAAGAGAAUUAGAUGGAUAAUGGUUAAGACUCAAACAAAGAUAGCAAAUAAAGGUCUUCGGGUAGAAAAAAAAAAGAAAAUGCGAGAAACAAAUGUUUACAUAGAAACAAAUGGCGCGCAGUCGAUUUGUCAAUCUAGUACCACUCUCGUAUACUUGGUGAGAUUCGGCUAUACCAAAUUUGUAGCCUAUAUUUUACUUUAAUGAGAAAAUCAAAUAAUGUUUGAACAAAUAAUUUUCUUUUUUCUAUAUACUUUCUUAAAAUGUAUGGAGUGGGUAAAGUACAAAUUGUUUUUUUAGCCCUUUGACUCCUCCAAAAUUCGAACUCAAUUUAAUGUCAAUUAAAAUAAUGCUACUUGAAAAUCAUUCAACCAAAUAUCGUAAAAACUAUAAUUUUACGAAGUGAAAGUUUCACUGAUUAUUGAAUUAUAGAACAUGCUAUCAUUUCCUAGUUAGAAUUUGUUUAAUUCUAUUAAUUUACAAUCAUUCUUUAUUUUAUUCAAUUAAUUAAAGUGAAUUUGUUUUGUAUAAGUUCUAUAUAUGUAAAAUUUUAAAAUUCAGUGUUGAACUUAAUUGUACUAAACCUUUUAUAAUUUUUUAUCACAUCUGCAUGUUUAACAGUCUAGUAUUAAUAUUGAUAGCACAUAAUAUAUAGGAUCAAGAGACAUUGAUUUCGGGUGCCACAAGAUUUUUAGGAUUGCAUGCACAAGGGCUUACAAGAUUUUUAGGAUUGCAUGUAGGGGUGGGCGCGGUUCAGUUCGGUUCGAUUUUUAACUAAAUUUUUCAUAAUCGUUCAAUUACGAUUAUUUUAAAAUCAUAAUGGCAAUUAAUCAAAUUACCGAAAUAAUCAAGUACUCGAUUAAUCAAAAUAAUUCGAUUUGAUUCAGUUCGAUAAUUUCGAUUAUGAGCUUAUUGGACCUAUUUUGGGUUUUUUUAAAUUUAAAACCUUAAAUUAAUAAAUCUACCACAAACAUAAAAAAGUUAACAAACGAUUUGUUUCUUAGUUAAAAGUUUUUAAUCUUUUACUGCUUUUAUUAUUAUCCCAUUUUCGUGAUUGUUGGUAAAUGUGUCAAAUCAUAGGUGGAAAGCCUCUACAAAAUAAAAAUUAACCAAAAAAUCAAUUAAGAUUAUAGUUUAAUUAAGGAUCCAUACAGAGUUAGUUAGCAGAACCAGCUGGAAAAUGUUUUUGUCUGAACCUGUUGCAGAAAAUUAAUACUUGCUAGCGUUUUUUAUUAAUUAAUUUAGUUAUGAAUAUACAAACUUAAAAAGUCAUGAAUGAGACGUGUUUGAACUUGCUUUAGUUUUCAUCAGUAGUAAAGAUAGCACCGGCAAUUCACAGCACCAUCAUUUAGUUAUGAACUUGCUUUACGUGCUCUGGAAAUAUCAGUCAUUUUACAAAUGAAAAAGAAAUCAAGAUUUCAUGUUUCACCAUGCUUGGGUUGCUAUCAAACAUAGCAACACCAAAAAAUCAAAUCCAGUGAAGGAGAAUUACCAAAUACAAGGUCAAGAUUCCACCAUAUUAUCAAAAUUGACAUUUGACCGUCAUUAGUAGCAUUAAUUGUUUUGUAGCGUACAGAGCCACACAAAACACUAAGACUAAAGAAAUCAAAGAUGAAAACAAACACCAUAUCACAUUAAACAUUUUCAAACACGGCUCUAAGAUAUAAAAAUCAUGAUCAAUCUCAACAGUAUCCAGUUUGCGAUUUGGGAAAAGAAACUGAAAAAACCAAUCAUUCAAUCAUCUUUCAGCCAAAGAAACAAACCAUAUCUCACCCAAAUGGGGGAAAAGAAAAAACAAAAGAAUGAAUCAUAAAUCACAAAUCAAUUUUGGUAUACAAAUUACUAGUCAUGGUUAUAACUAAAUACAACAUCUCAAGUGAACGAACCUCAACAAAUUAUGAAACGAAACACGAAACAAUCAGCAGUAGCUCAAGUUAUUGGUUUUUAUUCUCUGCAAAAACAGAACAAACCAGAGAAAUGAGAGACAAAAACAGCAGCGAUAUUUACAUAACUCAAGCACAUUAACAAAAACAUGGGAACGAGGAAAAAGAAAUGAACUUUAAACCAAAUUCAUAAAACCGAAACGAAAAAUGGAACUUUUUUGUUCGAUUUUUUGUUCUGCUGAGAGAUUUUGUUGACAAAAACAAAAGAACCCAGAAAUGCUAAAGAGGAAGAGAGAGAAAUCAAUACGUGAUCGUAGUGUUAAAAAAAAAAAAAACCUCACAACAGUAGUCAGAUGGCAGCAGGGGAGCACCGUGACAGCAGCAACAAUUGAUAGUAGGUGACAGCGGCAAGUGACAGUGGCAGCAGCAGCAGAUGACAGCGGCUACAGCAGGUGGUAGCGGCGGCGGAGAGUCGUGAAGGACAAGCAGCAGCAGCAGCGGGGACGAGAUUCCAGCGGCUGAAGGUGCUGCGGCUUCGGUUUUCGGCUGAAGAUCAGAAGAAAUGAAGAAUGUGUUUAGUUUAGACUUUAGGGAUUGUUAUUUGACAUUCGGUUUAUUUGAUAUUCGGUUCGGUUUUUCGAUUUUUUUUUAAACUAAAAACCGAAUAGACUGAUUUUACUACUUUUAUUAUAUUACUCAUUCGAUUUUUUGGAUGUAAAAAAACCGCAUAAAUGCUGUAGAAAACUUAAAUUUUAUAGUACUUAGUUAGCUGCACAUAUAUAUAUAUAGGGCUACUAUAGCCAAAGAAACUUACAUGCUCUAGAAAACUUAAAUUUUCAUUGAUGCCACGUAACAUCAAAAAACUUUUCCCAGUAACAUUCGUAAAAGCUAAAAAUGUCUGAUUCGGUAGAGUAAACACCUCUAUGAGUGUAUUUACGAGGAAUAUAUCAAUAUAACCUCUACAUUUGAAAAUAACCAACAGUCUUUCAGUAUGUCUGUAUAUAUAUAUAUAUAUAAUCAGCUUCAGGUCUGGAAUUUAAAUUUGAAAAGAGUCUACAAUGUUGUAAAUUGCAUUUAUCACUGUUUUACAAUGGUAUAAAUUUAAUUAUAAAUGACUGUCAAAAAAUUAAUAGAUGGUUAUUAUAUAUGAUUAUAAUUAGAACAUUAAAAUUCAAGUCGACUCAUUUAUCUUUACGUUGAUUUUAUUCUUUGUGGUUAUACUUAGAAUAUUAAACAAUUAAGUCGACUAGUUUAUCUUUAUGUUGAUCAUUACAGGCCUCUUAAAUAUUUUAUUUACCUAUAUUUUCUUUGAUUUGUUAUUUUGAGUUGUAUGAAAUGUAGCUUUACUCCUGUUUUCUUUACUUUACUUUGGUUUUCUUUAUUGUUGAUAGGAAUUUUCUUGUUAAAACUAUAUGAUUCAAAUUCAUACUACAACCAUGAUGAAAUAUUUAAUAAAACCUUCAAACUAAAUCCACAUAUUCCAUGAGUAAGGACCCUGAGAUCACAUUUGUUCAAGUUUAUGCUUUAAGUAAAAUAAAAGUAGAAAUGAGAGUUUUAAAGAAGAAAUUCAGUUAUAAAUAAUUGUCAAAUAAUUAAUUGUUCAGCAUUUAUUUUAUAGGUCCCACUGUUGGGACUCCAUGUGAUCUGCCAACUGGCAGGCCUUAUGUGGUUGGGUGAACCAAGGUGUGCCUACCCCAUAUAAGUUCCUCUCUUCUCAUAGAUAUAACUAUCAACGGCGCUAUGUCAUGUCCAACAAGGACUCUUCGAAACUUUUUAUGUGAAUUUUAAACAUUACCCCAUUACGCUUUUGAAACACCAAAACUACCUCUCUUAAAUUUUUAAAAAAGGAAAAAAAUACAUGUUAAAAGAAUGUUUUAUGUCUUUAGCUUAACAGUUAGCACACGUAUUGUACUCUUGACAUUUUUCUUCUGUAAAUCUUCACUUCUUUUUUCUUUGAUUUUUCACACGUCACUGCUCUUUUAUCUCUAAAAAAUUAAAUUGUCCGUAGAAGCUUACUAUUUAAUUUACGGAUCUAAUUAUUUAGCUCUAAAUAUUUAGAUAAGUUUUCUUAAUUAAUUACCACUUCUUUAAUUUAUUUGGUGAUUUCUCUUAGAUGAAAGAAUUAAGGUUAUGUCCUAGGAAAAAUAUUAACUCUCAUAUUAUAGUGUUGAUAAUGAGGUUAUCCUUAAAUUUUUAACACAUGAAAACACAUCGAGGUAACUAUAAAUUCAUUGAAGGAAAUAUUUUAAUAAAUUUAGAUUUUGGUACAUAUUAUUUGUUGAAUUUUUUUUCUUUCCAAAUUGAACGUAGCCCUUAUGACAUUCAAUUCGUGAGAGUGCCACUAAAUGUAAAGUGUUGAACUAGAUCAUAUUUCUCCCUUAUGCAAACUCCAUCGUUUAUUUAUAUUUCAAUUUUGUGGCCUAUUUUCGAGUUUUCUAGUUUCACAGAGGGCAUCUUGGAUUUCUCUACGCUGUCUAUAGUCUCUAGUCCAAAUGAAGAAAUCGAAUUCACCAUGUACUGUUUGGGAGAAGUACGUCGACGAGACCAGACAUGAUGAGCAGAUAUCUGAUGGCAGAGUUCUGCGAACAGGUGUGUCCUGUAAGAGACUGGUGACCGGGGAGCAGGAGUAGAAAUAUUUUGCUCGUCCGCGAGAAUGCCGUCCACGAGGCUGGGCUCCUGCUGUAGCAUGGAGCAUUCCUGCUAAAGGUUUUAAUCGAGGAGACCCGGUCAACGAGAAUUGGUGCGGCGGGCUCUGCAAUCCGAAAAUCAAGGUACUAAGGCCACGUAUCCACCCACGAUUACAGAAAUAGAGCAUCCACGUUCGAGAGGUGGGAGGAUAACGAGCGCAAAUGAGGGGAAGGUCUGGAGUCAGGAGGACCUAUAAAAAGGUAGCCAACGAAGGUAAAAGGGUUAGACUUUUCGCUAUUAGAACUAAGAAAAGAGAGCUCUAAGAACUGAGAUUAAAAAGAAGCCAUAAGAUUCGUGGCAUAGAUUCCCAAAACCUUCAUUUCUGACUUGAACGUCGGAGGGUUUGCGCCGGGGAACCAACCGGCGUACUCUGACCUGUCUGUGUACGCAGGAACUUCUGGAGAAGAAGCUUUACGAGGAGAGAUCCUGAUCGUGGUGACGUUGAUCGAGCAGAGCUCCUGGUCGUAUAACGAGGAGGACUAGAAUCUCGCAUCAACAUUUUGGCGCCGUCUGUGGGGAGCUGAGCAAAAAGCUUCUGUUGAUAGCAAGAAGAAAAGGGAAGCAACUGAAAAGCAAUGGAGACAGGAGGAAGUAGUGCACAAGGGGGUGAUAUGAGGCUUAACGAUUCCGUGACGCUGAGGGAGAUAGCCAGUGAAGCACGGGAAAAAGCCAUGUUCGACCAGAUGGAACGGAUGGAAAAGCAGAUGGAGACCUUGACAACCAUCCUGCAUGAGCUGCGGAGCGAACGAAGGGUAACCUAGGAGGAAAGGGUGAGAGGUGGUGGAGUGGCACCAGGUCCCGAUAGUGCGAGGAGAAGUCAAACCAUCGGGAGAUUUGGUGGCGAGAGAGGUAACAUACCUCUGCGGGGAGAAUUGCAUAGAGAGGAAGAGCAGUCCCCGACAAGACAGAUUUUUGACGAGGACAACGGGGUGGCGAAUGCAGAGGAAACACAGUUGAGGCAACACUUGCAUGAUGUAGUGCAAGAGCGGGAUCAAGUUGCAGCACGUGACCCUGGUCGUGCAGAGCAGCUGGAGGAGGAAGUGCGCAGACUAGCGCAGAUAAUUGACGACAUGCAAGGAAGGAGCAGAGCUCCUGGUUGGAGAAUAAUGCUGGACGGAGAAUCACCGCUCGCAGCAGAGAUCAUAGGGCAAUUAUUCCGAGAGAUUUUUGCCUCCCAGACUUUAGAUACUCGGGAAGAACUGAUCCGCUGGUGCACAUAGAGUGCUUCAACGACAUAACUGGGGUACAAGGAUUAUCUCAAUCCCAAAGGUGCAGGGUGUUCCCACUAUCCCUUGAGGGACGUGCACGAGAGUGGUACAAGAAACUUCCUCGGGGCAGCAUUAAAACCUUCGAGCAGAUGUGCCAGGAAUUUGUAGAGCAGUUUAGUGGGGCAACGGCACCAGAAGAUGACAUGAUGGAGCUGAAAAGCAUGAAACAGGGGGAGCAAGAAACCCUUCGGGAAUUCAUCAAGAGGUUUCAUCGUGCUGUCCUCGACUUGGGUGCCUUCAACCACCCUCAGGCGUUAAGGGGAUUGAAAGAAGGGGUGAAGAUAGGAAGGUUGUGGUACAACUUGAGAAGCCCAGUUAUUCAGACGUAUGCGGUCGCAUACGAGCAGGCUAAGAGAGACAUUGAGAUUGAAGAGGAGAAGGCAGCACGGAUUAAGACAGACCAGUUAGAAGGGUUGGGGAGGAAAGAGAAGAAAGCAUUACCAGGGAAUGGGCCGAUCAGGAGGAGGGACCACCAAGCCUCGGGUAGUGGAGCAGGAGGUCGGGUAACUGCUUACCAGCCUCAUCAGAGGCCACCACAGUAUCAGCGCAGUAGGGCGCAACUUCCUCGUUCCCCAGCUAGGGAGCCUUGGAGAAGGCAUGAUUCGGCAUAUGGUGGUCUCCAUCAACAUUCCCACGGUAGCAGAGGGAGCAGACCAGAAGUACUACCACAGCCCCCAACUCAGAACGGAGCAAACAGAGAAAGAGCAGUGCACCUGAUCGACCAGAACCAGGACUAUGAGCAGUAUACUUCCUUGAAGAUGUCCCUGGACGAGGUGUACGAGGCCAUAAAGGAUCGGGGGUUGCUAUACCUCCCUGCUCAAAUAACAAAGCUACCCAGCAGGAGGGAUAGGGGACGCUAUUGUAAGUUCCAUGGCACUCAUGGCCACACCACAGCAGAUUGCAGAGAUCUUAAGACCCAGGUCGAAGAUUUGGUGAGAAAUCGGUAUCUGGACGAGUUUGUAGAUGGGACCUUCCCAAUGGUAGCCUCAACAAGUGAAGGGGAGUAGAGUGACAGGAACUUGAGGCGCGAGCAGCCUGCAGUAAGGGUUAUAGCUGGGGGCCCAACAUUGGCGGGAGAUUCCAACAGGUCGAGGAAGAAUUAUGCUAGAUACGCCAUGACCAGCAAAGAGGUAUUCUUCAACACCCCAGCAGCCAAACGUGCAAGAGUCAGGCAAGUGCCAAUCAUGUGGACAGAUGAGGAUGAGGAAGGGAUUCUAUACCCUCACGAGGAUGCUUUGGUCAUCAAGGCCACCGUUGCUAGCAAGAAGUUUGACAGGAUACUGGUUGACACAAGGAGCUCAGUUGACGUAUUGUUUAAGUCAACCCUGGAGGAGAUGGGGAUAGCAGACCUGAAGUUGGAUUACACCAAUACCUUCUUGAAGGGGUUUGGAGGACGAAGGCUGGUCCCUCUGGGCGUGGUCGAGCUGCCUAUCACGAUCGCGAGUUCCCCGACAGAAAGGACAAUGAUACUAGACUUUGUAGUAGUAGAUGAGGAAGGUCCUUACCAGAUGAUCCUAGGCCGGCCAUUUCUGAGGAUGAGCAAAGCGGUGCUGUCCAACCAUUAUCUGGCCCUCAAGUACCGGGUGAAUGAAGUAGUUGGAGUGGUACGAGGAGACCAGAGAAUCGCAAGAAGCUGCUACUCUUCGGCAGCAAGGGAAGCAAUGCAGAUAACAUCCAUUGACACCCGAGUGGAAAACGAGAAUGGCAGACAAGAACCUGUAGAGGAGCUGGAGACAGUAAGCCUGGGAUCAGAGAAUCCGGGAAAGACGAUCAGAAUCGGGUCGAGACUUAAAGAAAAGCAGAAGCAGGAGUUGGUGAAAUGCUUACAGGCUCAUGCAGAUGUGUUUGAAUCUUGAUCUGCUAACGGAAAAAAGGGAGCAAGCAGCUGGUCAAUCAGCCAUUUACCAGCAAAGGGUCACUCGUUAUUAUAACCAGAAGGUUAAUGUACGACAAUUCAGGGUCGGAGACUGGGUACUGAGAAGAGUGAAUCAGAGUACCAAAGAUUCGACUCAAGGAGUGCUGGGACCGAAUUGGGAAGGGCCAUAUAGAGUCAAGCAGAUAGUGGGACACGGAGCUUACAAGCUGGUUCGCACGGACGGCCGCGAGGUGAAACGCCCUUGGAACGCAGCACACCUCCGCAAAUACUUCCAGUAAGAUCUGUUCACAUUUUAAAGCUAUUUCCGCUCGUGCUCGUUAUCUUUUAUUUUUUAUAUUUUAUGUCAAAGCAAGUUCAUGUAAAACCAACUCCUGCAAUUAAUGGAACGUCGAGGAAUUUCAUUCAGUUGAAACUGUGAUAAAUUUUCUAAGGCAUGCGAAGGCUCACCAAGUCUCAAAGCCUGUUUAUGGCGAGACCAGAAGCCAAGCGUGCCGGGAUCUGCUCGACCACGCGAAGGCGAGCAGAAUCCCAAUCAUUGAAGAAAAUAACUAAGGCAUGCAAAGGCUCACCAAGUCUCAAAGCCUGUUUAUGGCGAGACCAGAAGCCAAGCGUGCCAGGAUCUGCUCGACCACUCGAAGGCGAGCAGAAUCCCAAUCAUUGAAGAAAAUAAUUAAGGCAUGCAAAGGCUCACCAAGUCUCAAUGCCUGUUUAUGGCGAGACCAAAAGCCAAGCGUGCCAGGAUCUGCUCGACCACGCAAAGGCGAGCAAAAUCCCAAUCAUUGAAGAAAAUAACUAAGGCAUGCAAAGGCUCACCAAGACUCAAAGCCUGUUUAUGGCGAGACCAGAAGCCAAGCGUGCCAGGAUCUGCUCGACCACGCGAAGGCGAGCAGAAUCCCAAUCAUUGAAGAAAAUAACUAAGGCAUGCAAAGGCUCACCAAGACUCAAAGCCUGUUUAUGGCGAGACCAGAAACCAAGCGUACCAGGAUCUGCUCGACCACGUGACGGCGAGCAGAAUCCCAAUCAUUGAAGAAAAUAACAAAGGCAUGCAAAGGCUCACCAAGUCUCAAAGCCUGUUUAUGGCGAGACCAGAAGCCAAGCGUGCCAGGAUCUGCUCGACCACGCGACGGCGAGCAGAAUCCCAAUCAUUGAAGAAAAUAACUAAGGCAUGCAAAGGCUCACCAAGUCUCAAAGCCUGUUUAUGGCAAGACCAGAAGCCAAGCGUGCCAGGAUCUGCUCGACCACACGAAGGCGAGCAGAAUCCCAAUCAUUGAAGAAAAUAACUAAGGCAUGCAAAGGCUCACCAAGACUCAAAGCCUGUUUAUGGCGAGACCAGAAGCCAAGCGUGCCAGGAUCUGCUUGACCACGCGAAGGCGAGCAGAAUCCCAAUCAUUGAAGAAAAUAACUAAGACAUGCAAAGGCUCACCAAGUCUCAAAGCUUGUUUAUGGCGAGGCCAGAAGCCAAGCGUGCCAGGAUCCGCUCGACCACGCGAAGACGAGCAGAAUCCCAGUCACUGAAGAAAGUAUCUAAGGCACGCAAAGGCUCAUAAAGUCUCAAAGCCUGUUUAUGGCGAGACCAGAAGCAAAGCGUGCCAGGUUCUGCUCGACCGCGCGAAGGCGAGCAGAAACCCAAGCAUUGAAAAAUUUUCUAAGUAAUGUAGAAAGACCAUAUUCUUAACCAGAGCCUGCUCGGCCAAGCGAAGGCGAGCAGACCCUCAACAGAAAAUUUACUUGUAAAUACAAAACACAAGAAAGUAAUCAAAAACAAUUUUCAUUAAUUUAUCAAUAACCAACAAAGUUGUUCAUUACAACGCAUGAAAUAUGUUCAAGAAGAUGGCGGAUCAGUAAGCCGAGUAGCGUCGGUCGGCUGGACCUCCUCGGGUACAGGGGGGUAUCACCAGUUGCGUCCGGGGGGGUGCUCGCCUCGCCGACGUCAGCAGGGAUUGCACGAGGAGGAGAGUUUUCCUCCUCAAUCACGAUCGGCUCCACCCCUUCGGCAUCUUCCUUGGCCGCCUCCUCGUCCAUAUGUUGAGCAACACCAGCUGCAAGGUCAUCCAUCUUCAGAUCAGGAUGCUGCUUCCCGAGGACGGCCAUGAUGCAACGAUAAGAAUGCCGGAGUCCCUGGUCGUACUGGUUGUCGGCCUCCUUCUCUAAGUUUUCGACCUGAACCCGGUGGGAAUCGCGGAGAGAUUCGAGCUGAGCCUCGUACAAAGCUUUCUGACUCUGCAGAUCCUCCUUGACCUUGGCCAGCUCUUCCUCGAGAGUGAUAGCCUUUGCUUGGGCAAGAGACUCUCGCUCAAUCAACUUCAGAUUCUCGGGGUUCAAGUCCCCUGCUUUCUUUUCGGCAACACCAGCUCUGGUCGUCGCCGACUGAAUGUCCUCCUUCAUCUUCCUAUCAUAGCGGCCAACUUUGGCCUUAUAGUAGGUGGUCAUGCAGCUGAGAUGGAAGGCGCUAUACUGCAUGGCCCCCACCAGCUCGCCUAGACUACAUCCAUCAAAGUCCUCCAGAUCCUUCUUGCUCACGAGUUUGGAAAGCUCGUUGAGAUAGGGAGCCAAGUGUUCUGCUCGGCUAUCAGGCAAACGAGAUCUAGGCCCGACAGGUGGAGAAGAGGAAGCAGGAUCAGUGGCUGCUCCACUGGUCUCGCCGAGUUUGGCAGGAGGAGGAGGUAAAGUCUUCAAGGGAGAGACCUGCUGCACGAUGUUGGCCCGCUUUGCAGUAGGGGCGUCCUUGUUCUGGUCCCUCUUCGUGGUUUGAGGUCGAGAACGUUUCCUGUUCAGAGCCCCAAUCACAGCGUCCUCCAUCUUAUGGCCAGGGAGUACCAAGCGAGACUCGAGCAAGUUGUAAGUAGUUAGCAGUUCUCGGCUCGGGCAGGUAUUGGGUAGUACGGCCUCAACCUGUUUGAGCUGGUCAGGUUGGAGUGGGAAAUGAACACCCCAAGAAACUACAACACAAACAGACACUUGGUUAGAGGUAAGCCAAUAAAGCAGGAACAAUUAUGCAUACAAGACAUCUAAGCGAGCAUGCAACCUGGGACCGUGAAACGGGGUGGGAUGCGACAAUCCUUCCCGUCUAUUUGUGCAACUUGACCCCAAGGACCCCCAGCAAAAAAGAAUUUUCUCUUCCAAGUCCCACCACCACCAGUUGGAAGAUCAGUUAUGGGUUUCCUGCUCUUGGUACUAGAUUGGAAGUAGUACCAGCCGGCAUCUUUGGGGCUGUUCUUUAGCUGGUACAGGUGUUUCACCUCGUCGACCGUGGGCUCGCUUUGACAACAUCUGUCCCACAAGAUGAAUAGACUAGAGAGCACUCUCCACCCGUUGGGGUUCAGCUGACCAGGAGCUAGAUUCAACCCGCUAAGAAUCCGGGCAAAGUAGGGUUGCAAGGGACACCUCAGCCCAUGCUUAAAACUCUCCAAAAACAAGGUAACAUAUCCCCUAGGAGGCCGGCUAGAGGUAUCCUUCUUUCCUGGGAUCUUAAGAAGUAUCUCACCAGGAAUGCUAUACCUAAGCCGGAGGUUAGCGAGCUCGUCAAACGUGGUCGUGCACGUCAUAUAAUCAAUAGCGUAAUCCCGCGAUAGGGCUCUACCUCCUGCUGUACUCUACCCUUCUGGUCGUGACGCUCCUGAUGGUGAUGCCUCACCAGAAUCAUCUCCACGAUCCUCACUCAGGGUGUUCUCCGAUCCAGAAGACCCUUCCUCAUCGCUAUUUCCGCUCGAGGAGGUUGUUUGGGGGGACAUCCUCCUAGUGCUAGUGCCAACACUAGAUCUAAUGGGCUCUAAGGGGAUCCCGGGGUCAAAAGCAGGAUCGGUGAGCAGACUAGGCAAGAAGUCCAACUCAUCGUCAUCAACCUCAAUGACCUUCUCUUUACCUCUCGACAUUCCCUAAGCUCUAACCACAACACCACCACCAACUACUACCCAAACAAAAGAGAAGAGAAAUUAUCUACAACUAUCCGAGACCAGGGAGAUAGAAGAAGUACCUGAAGUAAUGGUUCAGUCGGAGAAAGACAGAGAUGGAGGCCCCUAUGCCGGAACUUCUUUCCGGAGAGACAGAGACGAAGACGGAGUGAAUGACGAAUUUGUCGUUCGAAAGGAUUUGGGUUUCCUAAUGGAGACGGACUCUUGGGUUGCCAGCAUUUAACGACACCAAAUCUCAAGGGCCUCGUAACCGUUGGUUUGAAAUUCGAAUAGAGGGGCAGAUGUCUGCCACAUCACCUCGUCCGCAAUUAAAUGCGACAUGACUCUUGGCAGCCUUUUCCCAUCCCACGCGAGCAAGUACUGUUGAGUUUCUACUGCUGGUCCACUACAUUACCCAAACACUAGAAACUGGGGGACCGAUGUUUGGGAGAAGUACGUCGACGAGACCAGGCAUGAUGAGCAGUUAUCUGAUGGCAGAGUUCUGCGAACAGGUGUGUCCUGUAAGAGACUGGUGACCGGGGAGCAGGAGCAGAAAUAUUCUGCUCGUCCGCGAGCAUGCCGUCCACGAGGCUGGGCUCCUGCUGUAGCAUGGAGCAUUCCUGCUAAAGGUUUUAAUCGAGGAGACCCGGUCAACGAGAAUUGGUGCGAUGGGCUCUGCAAUCCGAAAAUCAAGGUACUAAGGCCACGCAUUGUUAGAGUGCAAUUUAUGCACUAGUUUUGCAUUAUUUACUUCCCUUAAUAUCGAUGUUUUGCAUUUAAUAAUAAUGUUUUACUUGUGUUUUACUUUUGUAGAUGCAAUUAUAUUGAUUGAUGAUAAAAUUGAGCUAAAAGAUGAUGUUUAAGAAGGAUUGUUCUCUUGGAGAAAUUUCUGAGCGUCAGAAGAACUUUGUUGAUAAGGCGUGGGUGCGUGCUGUUAACUGCGGACCUGCAGUUUUUAGUUUAACGUGUUUUAUAUUUUUGGUUAUUUUUGUAAUUACGAAUUUAAUAUUUCAGAUAUUAGUAUUUUAUUUUAAAUAGAAUUCUAAAAGAGAAGAGAGAGAGAGUAUUUAAGGGAGGAAUCUAUUGUGAAAAAGGGGGGAUUUUUGGAUUGGAGAAAAAGAAACCCUAGAUCUAAUUUUUCUCUUCUCUCUAUGAGGAACUAAACCCAUUUUUCUGGUUGAAGGAUAAUGAAGCUUUGAUUCAUCACUACUGUGAGAUCUUUCUUGUGCUUUAAUUGUUUUAUUGCUUUUUGGGUAUUUGUUUAUUCUCUGAAUUAGUUUCAUGAUUAUGUUUGUUAAUUAGGUAAUUGGCCACUAUUUAAUUAUCAACUUAAUCUAUUGUCAAUUAAAGGAUUCAUCGUAUGAAGAAUUUAAUGUUUGUGACAAAUAACAUAGCAGAGAGUUGUGUUGUGAGAAUAAACAAUCUAAUUUAAAUGAAUCAUCUUAUGUGUUGAUUAGGAUUUGGGUCUCUCUGGUUUCUCAGGCUGUCUAUUGAUUAAAUCCUAUGAUCGUAUCUAGGGUUGUCUAUUGAUUAGGGAAGUAACCAACGGUCGUACCUUGGUUAUCGACUAGUUAAGGAGAGAUUGGCUAUUAGAGGGUCUCAGUAGCUAUAACCGAUCUAUUCAUAAGUAAUAAUAAUAAUCUAUAUUUGAAUUAAUGAUCAGUAGUCGAAUCAAGCUGAGUUAAUUCCUUCAACCAGAGCUUUCUCCAAUUUGAAUUACAACUUUAAUUUGCAUUCUUGUUUAUUUCAAUUUGAUUUUUAUUAUUGUCAACAAUUCCCCCAUUUUACGUUUUACGUUUCAAAAGGAUUUAAAUAAUUACCGAUCUCUGUGGACACGACCCUGCUCAAUCACUAUACACAAUUUAUUUAGAGUAGGAAUUUAUUUUUGUUGGCUUCGACACCCAUCAAAUUUUGGCGCCGUUGCCGGGGAUUGGUGUCAUUUAUUUAAUCCUUUUUACGUUUUACUUAGUGUAUGGUUCGUUCUUCUCGUACAUGUACACUUUCAUUUGAUCCUGAAAUUGAGAAGACAGCUCGCCAGCUGAGACAGCAGACAAAGCGAGCUAAGCAACGAUCCUCGUCGCCUUUGCUUUCUGAAACAGAUACGGUGCCUGAUUUAGUUGAAUCAUCUAGAGAUUCAGAAGAACAAGUGAUGGAUAGACCUGCACCUGUAGAAAGAACUCUUAGAGAGUUAGCUGAACCAGACUUGAAUCAACAACCACUCUGCAUUCAAUAUGUAGACUUGGAGGUAAAUUUUGAAUUAAAGUCUGGUCUUAUUCAUUUAUUACCCAAGUUUCAUGAUUUUGCAGGUGAAGAUCCCCAUAAACAUCUUAAGGAGUUUCAUGUUGUGUGUUCAAGUAUGAGACCACAAGGCGUGACUGAAGAGCAGAUUAAGCUGCGUGUUUUUCCGUUCUCUGUAGAUGGGCUAACUAAAGAUUGGUUGUACUACUUGCCUCCUGGAUCGAUUACAACGUGGAAUGGUUUGAAGAAGCAGUUCCUUGAGAAGUACUUUCCUGCUUCAAGAGCUGCCAACAUCAGAAAAGAUAUUUGUGGGAUCAGACAACUUCCUGGGGAGACUUUGUAUGAGUAUUGGGAGCGAUUCAAACAAUUGUGUGCCAGUUGUCCUCAGCAUCAGAUUUCUGAUCAACUUCUUAUUCAAUAUUUUUACGAAGGAUUGUCAUUUAUGGAUAGGAGUAUGAUAGAUGCUGCUAGUGGAGGCGUGUUGGUGAACAAGACCCCUACUCAAGCAAGGGAGUUGAUAUCAAAUAUGGCUGCCAAUGUACAACAAUUUGGCAGCAGGCAAGAUCUCACUUCAAGGAAGGUGAAUGAGGUAAAUAUUUCUUCUGUUGAACAACGUUUAGAUAAACUCACUUCUCUUGUGGAAAAGUUUGUUGUAGGUAAUGUACAACAGGUGAAGACUUGUGGUAUUUGUUACAAUAUGGGUCAUUCAACUGAUAUGUGUCCUACACUUCAAGAAGAACCCGUUGAACAAGCCAAUGCAGUUGGAGGAUUUCCAGGCAUGCCUCAGAGGAGGUAUGAUCCUUAUGCACAAACAUACAAUCCGGGAUGGAAGGAUCAUCCCAACUUCAGCUAUGGAGUUAGGCCGUCAAGAUUCCCACAACAGUAUCCACCAAGACAACCAACACCUCCACAGUCAAACUCCAAGUCAGGUAUAUCUCUUGAAGAAAUUGUUAAAUCACUUGCGACUAACACUCAACAAUUUCAGCAGGCAACUACAGCAAGCAUUCAGAACUUGGAAAACCAAGUGAGUCAAUUGGCAACUACGAUGAGCCGUCUAGAGUCUCAAGUAUCUGGGAAAUUGCCUUCACAAACUGAGGUGAAUCCAAAGCAAAACGCCAGUGCCGUCAUCCUUAGAAGUGGGAAGGAGUUGCAAGAGCCUAGUAAGAAAGUGACAGAGCAUGUAGAAGAUGAGCUUGAAAAGAAUGAAUUGAUGCCUAAAUCUCAGGAUGCGCAACCCACCAGAGCGAAACCCCUACCUAUUGUGAUACCUCCUCCUUUUCCAAGCAGGUUUGCAAAAUCCAAGAAGGAGGAACAAGAGAAAGACAUCCUUGAGACAUUUCGCAAGGUUGAGGUAAAUAUUCCCUUAUUAGAUGCUAUAAAACAAAUACCUCGAUAUGCUAAAUUUCUUAAGGAACUGUGCACCUCCAAGAGAAAAUUAAGAGGAGAUGAAAGAGUUCAUAUGGGGGAGAAUGUUUCAGCAGUUCUCCAAAAGAAAUUACCUCCCAAGUGCAAGGAUCCAGGUAUGUUUACUAUCCCUUGCAAAAUUGGUAGUGUUAGAGUUGAGAAGGCUAUGUUAGAUCUAGGAGCUUCUAUUAAUGUCAUGCCUCGUUCUAUUUAUUCGUCUUUGAAUAUUGGUGCAUUAAAAGAAACUGACGUGAUAAUUCAACUAGCUGAUAGGUCUAAUGCAUAUCCUGAUGGGGUAUUAGAAGAUGUCUUAGUACAAGUUAAUGAGUUGGUUUUUCCUUCUGAUUUUUAUGUACUUGAUAUGGAAGAUGAUAACUCCUCUAAUUCUAUCCCAAUUUUGCUAGGAAGACCUUUUCUUAAGACUGCUAGAACUAAAAUGGAUGUACAUAAAGGGACUCUUACUAUGGAGUUUGAUGGAGAGGUUAUAGAGUUCAAUAUGUAUGAUGCCAUGAAAUAUCUCAGUGAGGAACAUUCGGUAUUUUCUAUGGAUGUUAUUAACCCUAUAGUGCAGGAAGUUUUUUAUUUGGAUGUUGAAGAUUCAUUAGUAGCUGCUUUAAAUAACAGUUUGGGCCUCAAAGGAUUGCAAAAGGAUGAAAAUGAGUUUGUUUUAAAUUCUGUAUUGCAAGAGACAAUUUAUGAAUUAAAUUCUUUGAGAACUUUAACUCAUUAUAUGUCUAAUAAUGAAUUACCUUCAUCUAAUGCAAAACUUCUUCCAUCUAUUUUGCAGGCACCAAAAAUAGAGCUUAAACCAUUGCCUAGUCAUCUAAAGUACAUGUUUUUAAGAGAUGAUGAGACACUUCCGGUGAUCAUCUCUUCAAAGCUUAGUACUUUAGAGGAAGAGAAACUUAUUAGAGUGCUACGAGAUUACAAAAAGGCUAUUGGGUGGACAAUUGCAGAUAUUAAAGGGAUAAGUCCGUCCACGUGCAUGCAUAGAAUACUGCUGGAGGAAGAUGCCAAACCUUCAAUUCAAGCUCAACGCUGUUUGAAUCCACUCAUGAUGGAAGUAGUGAAGAAAGAAAUUCUAAAACUUCUUGAUGCAGGUAUAAUCUAUCCAAUUUCGAAUAGCAAAUGGGUAAGUCCGGUACAAGUGGUACCAAAGAAAACUGGUAUAACAAUUGUUGAGAAUUCUUAUGGUGAGUUAGUUCCUACCCGAGUUCAGAAUGGGUGGAGGGUUUGUAUUGAUUUUAGAAAGCUUAAUUCACUCACUAGGAAGGAUCAUUUUCCUAUUCCUUUUAUUGAUCAGAUGCUUGAAAGGUUGGCAGGAAAAUCUCACUUUUGUUGUCUUGAUGGCUAUUCAGGUUUUCAUCAGAUACCAGUUGCGCCUGAGGAUCAGGAGAAGACUACCUUCACAUGUCCUUUUGGAACCUUUGCAUACCGACGUAUGCCAUUUGGUCUUUGUAACGCUCCCGCCACUUUUCAGAGGUGCAUGGUUAGUAUUUUUUCAGACUAUGUAGAAAACACUAUAGAGGUAUUUAUGGACGAUUUUACAGUCUAUGCUGAUUCUUUCGAUGAUUGUCUCUAUAAUCUGAAGAAAGUGCUUGAAAGAUGCAUUGAAACAAACCUUGUCUUGAAUUAUGAAAAAUGUCAUUUUAUGGUAGAUCAAGGCAUUAUUUUGGGUCAUGUAGUCUCUGCUAGAGGAAUUGAGGUAGAUAAAGCUAAAAUAGAUGUUAUUAAAUCUUUACCUUAUCUCACAUGUGUGCGGAAAGUUCGUUCUUUCCUUGGUCAUGCAGGUUUCUAUAGACGAUUUAUCAAGGAUUUUUCGAAGAUAGCUCAGCCUUUAUGCAAGCUUCUUCAGAAAGAUGUGACGUUUGAUUUUAAUAAAGCAUGCAAGGUAGCAUUUGAUAAACUUAAGGAGUUGUUGACUUCAGCUCCAAUUAUACAGCCACCAGACUGGAGCCUCCCUUUUGAGAUAAUGUGCGACGCCAGUAAUUAUGCUGUUGGUGCUGUUCUCGGACAAAGGGUUGGAAGAGCUGCUCAUGUGAUAUAUUACGCAUCAAGAACACUUGAUAGUGCUCGGUGCAAUUACUCAACAACAGAAAAAGAACUUUUAGCUAUUGUUUUUGCUUUAGAAAAAUUCCGUUCAUAUUUAUUGGGUACUAAAGUGAUUGUUUUUUCUGACCAUGCAGCUCUCAGAUAUUUGCUCGCCAAGAAGGAAGCAAAACCGAGACUUAUUCGCUGGAUCCUAUUGCUUCAAGAAUUCAACUUGGAGAUCCGUGACAAGAAAGGAACAGAAAACUUAGUUGCAGACCACCUUAGUAGAUUGACCACGAGUGAAGAAGCAGCACCUUCGAAAGAUGAUUUUCCAGAUGAGCAUCUCUUUAUAACUCAAGGUAUGGUUCCUUGGUACGCUGACAUUGUCAAUUACUUAGUUACAAGAAUACUACCUAGUGAUCUGACGAGGGCUCAAAAGGAUAAAAUUAAGAGCGAUGCUAAAUACUAUGUUUGGGAUGACCCUUACUUGUGGAAACAUUGCUCUGACCAAGUCAUCAGAAGGUGCGUAUCUGAGUUUGAAAUUCCUUCUAUUCUUCAAUUUUGUCACUCAUAUGCAUGUGGUGGUCAUUUUGGUCCCAAAAGGACAGCAUCCAAGGUGUUAGAAUGUGGUUUAUUUUGGCCUACUUUAUUUCGUGAUUCAUAUAUGUUUUGUAAGUCGUGUGAGAGUUGUCAAAAGACUGGUAAUUUAAGUCAUAGAAAUCAAAUGCCACUUACCCCUAUUCUUGUAUAUGAAAUAUUCGAUGUGUGGGGCAUUGAUUUUAUGGGACCUUUUCCCUCAUCUUUUGGCAAUUCUUACAUUCUUUUAGCAGUGGAUUACGUUUCUAAGUGGGUAGAGGCUAAGGCCACCCGGACUGACAAUGCUAAAGUUGUUGUAGAUUUUGUCAAGUCUAAUAUUUUUGCUAGGUUUGGUGUACCGAGAGCGAUGAUAAGUGAUAGAGGCACUCAUUUCUGUAAUCGAGUGGUGGAAGCUCUGUUCAAAAGAUAUCAUGUUACCCACCGAGUGUCUACCGCCUAUCAUCCACAGACAAGUGGACAAGCUGAGAUAUCAAACAGAGAAAUCAAGUCUAUUCUUGAAAAGACAGUUAGUCCAAAUCGAAAGGAUUGGAGUUUGCGAUUAGAUGAUGCAUUAUGGGCGUAUCGCACCGCUUACAAAACUCCCAUAGGUAUGUCUCCUUAUCGUUUAGUAUUUGGUAAGCCUUGUCAUUUACCUGUAGAACUUGAGCACAGAGCAUACUGGGCAGUUAAGCAAUGCAAUAUGCGGAUGGAUGAAGCGGGAAAGCAGAGGAAGUUGCAGCUGCAAGAGUUGGAGGAGAUUAGAAAUGAAUCCUACGAGAGUUCGCGAUUUUACAAGGAAAAGACGAAGACAUUUCAUGACAGAAUGAUUUUGAGAAAGGAGUUCUCUGUUGGUCAAAAAGUUCUUCUCUUUCACUCUAAACUUAAACUUUUUCCUGGUAAAUUACGUUCUCGUUGGGUAGGACCUUUUAUUGUUACUAAUAUUUUUCCUCAUGGUGCAAUUGAGAUUCGGAGUCCAAUCUCGAAUAAAGCCUUUAAGGUUAAUGGUCAUCGUUUAAAACCUUUUUACGAAGGUUUUUCGGUGAAUAUUGUGGAGGAAUUGGCUCUCGAGAAUCCUAUUUAUGGAGAUUGAUACAUAAAUGUGUCUAGCCAAAGACAUAAAACAAAGGCGCUUUUUGGGAGGCAACCCAAAUGAUUUGUUUAUUUUGGUUUUUGUUUUAUCUUCUUUAAAAAAAAAAAAAAAAAAAACCAAAAAUCGAAAAUCACUGUUUACAAAUCCCUAAUUCAAAAAUUACUGUUGAUUAUCGUUUUACAGCAGCAUCAGCUCCAGCCUUCACCGCGCAACCAGCAGCAGCAGACGAGUACGCCCAGAACCAGCAGCAAGCUCCAACAUCCCCAGCCCGCGCGCGCAGCGCGAAUCAGCCCCAACCGCCGCGCACAGCAUCGCGUACCCCAACCAGCAGUAGCGCGAAUCAGCCUCAGCGCAGCAUAUCAGUCCCGCGCGCGUAGCGCAACAGAUCCGCAACGCAGACCCGCAACGCGAACUGGCUCUCGCGCGCAACAGCCCCGCGCGCGCAACACAACAACGAACCAGCACCCGCAAAGCAAGCCUCAGCAGCGCGCACAACCAGCCCCAACUCGCGCAACAAGCUCCAGCCGAGCAGCAAGCGCAACACAACCAGCCUACGCCCUGUAUUCCAGCCGGGUAAAUCGAAAUCCGUGAGUGCAAUUAUUGUAACAAUGCCGAAGAGGAAAGCAUCUACUUCCAAGUCGUCGAAAAAGACACCCGUCGCAAAGAAAUCUAAGAUUGCCGCUCCCACUACGGUUCCAUGGAACAUAAUUUCAGAUUCACGCCAAGCCGUGAGACAAAGAUCGAAGCAUGGAAAAGGCAUGAGUGUUUUGCCACUUGCGGAAUCCAAUCUCGGAGGGUGCCUCGCAUUCGCGACUCAACAAGAGAAAGAGAGGUACAAAGAUAUUUCCACGCGCAAAAUACUUCCAGCUAAGUAUAUUCAUUACCCGACUCUUGAAAAAUUAAAUGUUAAAGAUAAUUUUGAUUCUUUGAUAGAUAAGAUUGGGUUGCGUAAGUUUGUUGAUGUUGAUUGCUUGGGUUAUGUUGAGUUGAUUAGGGAGUUUUAUGCUACUUUUCAAUUCACUAUGCCGAAUGAUUUUACUUUGCAUACCCCGGAUGUCAUUAAGUUUAGGUUAAUGGGACGAAAUUUUUCACACUCUAUCACGGAUUUUAACCUAGCUUUAGGAUUCAUUGAUGAUGAUUAUUCUACUAGUGAUGAAUAUUUAGGAACAACUUGUGACUUUAGCGAAAAUUUUGAGCCUUAUGGUCUUUGGCGUAAUUUAUCUGUUGAUCACAAUGCCUAUGACCCGAGUAAAUCAAAGAGUUCUUUCUUACGUGAUCCUGUUUUGAAAUGUGUGCAUCGAUUCUUAGCAUAUAAUUUUUUAGGCAAGAAAGAUCACUCAGGAAUUUUCUCUAAAACUGAAUUUUAUUUUAUCUGGUGCAUGUUAAAUGAUGUGAGGCCUAAUUUAGGUUUUUGGUUAGCGGAUCAAUUUCAAAGUGUGCUUAAACGGUAUAGGACUUUAUUUCUUGGUCCAUACAUUACUCUGUUAGCUAUAAACCUAUGUGUGCUUGAUCCUGACAAUAAUGAUUUGCAUCCUGCUUGCAAAAAGGAAUUUUUGGAUAUGUCUGUGUUUGAAAGAACAGGUGUGGUCGAAUUCAAGGAGGGGAGAUUUCAGUUUACUGAACCAGGACCCACUCAACUUCCGAAGAAGCUUUAUGCUAGGAGUGGUGCUACCUCUGAUGACGAGUUUGACGACGACACUGUUGCCCCGCCAACUAUUCCUUCUACAUCCGCACCACCUUUGAGCAUUCAGUUAGAGAAAAUGGAGCACAAGUUGAACAAAAUGGAGCAGAAUUUGGCCGCAUACUUCGAGAGUGUGGGAUUUACCCCACCAUUUCCGCCAAGCCCAUAGACGUUAUGUGGAUCAAAGCUCACAAUUCAGGGAAGUUUCUUUUUGCCCUUAAACUUUUAUCCUUAUGCUUUAAUUUUUAUGUGAGCUUUGAUUAUCUUACAUUGGGGACAAUGUAAGUUCUUGGUGUGGGGGAGGGAUUUUUGCAUUAUUGAUGUCUGGAAUUAUUGUUUUCACUCUACUUAUCUUUUUUUUUUUCUUCACUCUACUCAUCCUUAAAUGAUUUUGGAGUUAGUAUGCUUUAUAUAUUAUUAUUUUUUCUUUUCUUUUAUUUCUCACUACUUUUUUUUUCCCAUCUAUCUCAAAUUAUUUACAUCUAUUUUUAUUCUAUCAUACUCUUUCAUCACUCACAUUUUAUCUUUCACUUUUCAUCUUUCUCACUUCUUAUCAUUUUUACCUUUCCUUUUAUAUAUCACUCAUACCUUCUUCUCAUUCUACACCACUAUUGAUGGUUGAUUCAUUUGAAGAGUGUACAUGAUUUGAUGGCAAAUUUACCAACUUUGUGAGGAUUUGAGCCUAUGAGCAACCACUUUGCUCUAAUUAUUUUUGUUAUGUGAAUAUCAAUCCUAGUUUGUUUAUUCUAGAACUUGCUUUGUUAUGCAUGUUGAAGCCACAUUACGGGAUUUUAGGCAUUAAAAUGAUAAGGGCAAACCAUUUACCAUUUUUCUAUUCUCGCAUUUUCAUUUUUCUUUACCCGAAGACCUUAAUUUGCUACCUUUGUUUGAGCCUUAACCAUUACCCAUCUAAUUCUCUCCGUCUACUUAACCAUUUUUCUUCUUUUUGAGCCUCAAUUUAAGGAGAUUUUUGGACUCAUUAUAUGGAUAUAUUUUGUUGCUUUUUCUACCUUGUAUUAAAGUUUCUCAAUUAGAUCAACAAGCAUUAUGCUUGAAUUCAAUUGUGCAAGGUUCGUUUCUUUUGUUUGAUUCGAAAAAAAAAAAAAACAAAAAAAAAAAUGAAAAAAAAAAAGAAAAAAAAAGAAAAAAAAAAGAAAAAAAAAAGAAAAAGAAAAAUCGAAAAAAAAAAUCGAAAAAAAAAAAUGUUUACAUUCUUGGUGACUUGAGUAGAAAUAAGCAUUUUGAUAUCAUAAGUUCAUUCAAUGAGUUCAUUCUUCUCAUUUUGAUCUCUUUUUCUUUCGUAAACCUUUCUUUUUCAUUUAACCCAUUUAACCCCAUUACAACCCUUUUAAGACCCUUAGAUUUUUGCAUUUUAUUCAUGUUUUGUGGAUUGAGAUGUGAUUUAUGAGCAAGCUUAUGAUAAUAGCAUUCUUUGAUUUGAUUUGAGUGGAUAAAUGACACCCUAAACACUUUGAGUGCAUGGAGUGAAGUUAUUGAGAGGGCUAUUACAUCUUGUUGCACUUGAAUUUUGAAUGGAUAUUCUUGGUGGUUGAAUGUUCUUAUUCUAUCUUAUGAGAUUCUAUGCUUUAAAAUCCUUGUCUCUUGAAUGUUGAUCGACUUAAUUUCUUGAGGUAUGCUUGCUUAAAAUUAUUUUUGGAUGAGUUGAGAUGAGAAUUGAGUGGAGAUUUAGGAUUAAUCUUGAGUUAUAUGCUUGAGGACAAGCAUCAUCUUGGUGUGGGGGAAUUUGUUAGAGUGCAAUUUAUGCACUAGUUUUGCAUUAUUUACUUCCCUUAAUAUCGAUGUUUUGCAUUUAAUAAUAAUGUUUUACUUGUGUUUUACUUUUGUAGGUGCAAUUAUAUUGAUUGAUGAUAAAAUUGAGCUAAAAGAUGAUGUUUAAGAAGGAUUGUUCUCUUGGAGAAAUUUCUGAGUGUCAGAAGAACUUUGUUGAUAAGGCGUGGGCGCGUGCUGUCAACUGCGGACCUGCAGUUUUUAGUUUAACGUGUUUUGUAUUUUUGGUUAUUUUUGUAAUUACGAAUUUAAUAUUUCAGAUAUUAGUAUUUUAUUUUAAAUAGAAUUCUAAAAGAGAAGAGAGAGAGAGUAUUUAAGGGAGGAAUCUAUUGUGAAAAAGGGGGGAUUUUUGGAUUGGAGAAAAAGAAACCCUAGAUCUAAUUUUUCUCUUCUCUCUAUGAGGAACUAAACCCAUUUUUCUGGUUGAAGGAUAAUGAAGCUUUGAUUCAUCACUACUGUGAGAUCUUUCUUGUGCUUUAAUUGUUUUAUUGCUUUUUGGGUAUUUGUUUAUUCUCUGAAUUAGUUUCAUGAUUAUGUUUGUUAAUUAGGUAAUUGGCCACUAUUUAAUUAUCAACUUAAUCUAUUGUCAAUUAAAGGAUUCAUCGUAUGAAGAAUUUAAUGUUUGUGACAAAUAACAUAGCAGAGAGCUGUGUUGUGAGAAUAAACAAUCUAAUUUAAAUGAAUCAUCUUAUGUGUUGAUUAGGAUUUGGGUCUCUCUGGUUUCUCAGGCUGUCUAUUGAUUAAAUCCUAUGAUCGUAUCUAGGGUUGUCUAUUGAUUAGGGAAGUAACCAACGGUCGUACCUUGGUUAUCGACUAGUUAAGGAGAGAUUGGCUAUUAGAGGGUCUCAGUAGCUAUAACCGAUCUAUUCAUAAGUAAUAAUAAUAAUCUAUAUUUGAAUCAAUGAUCAGUAGUCGAAUCAAGCUGAGUUAAUUCCUUCAACCAGAGCUUUCUCCAAUUUGAAUUACAACUUUAAUUUGCAUUCUUGUUUAUUUCAAUUUGAUUUUUAUUAUUGUCAACAAUUCCCCCAUUUUACGUUUUACGUUUCAAAAGGAUUUAAAUAAUUACCGAUCUCUGUGGACACGACCCUGCUCAAUCACUAUACACAAUUUAUUUAGAGUAGGAAUUUAUUUUUGUUGGCUUCGACACCCAUCACGCAUCCACCCACGAUUACAGAAAUGGAGCAUCCACGUCCGAGAGGUGGGAGGAUAACGAGCGCAAAUGAGGGGAAGGUCUGGAGUCAGGAGGACCUAUAAAAAGGUAGCCAACGAAGGUAAAAGGGUUAGACUUUUCACUGUUAGAACUAAGAAAAGAGAGCUCUAAGAACUGAGAUUAAAAAGAAGCCAUAAGAUUCGUGGCAUAGAUUCCCAAAACCUUCAUUUCUGACUUGAGUGUCGGAGGGUUUGCGCCGGGGAACCAACCGGCGUACUCUGACCUGUCUGUGUACGCAGGAACUUCUGGAGAAGAAGCUUUACGAGGAGAGAUCCUGAUCGUGGUGACGUUGAUCGAGCAGAGCUCCUGGUCGUAUAACGAGGAGGACCAGAAUCUCGCAUCAACAUGUACAUUAGUGUUUUUUUUUUUUUUUGGGGGGGGGGUGGAAUUUUUUUAUUGGCACAGGAAGAAAGCUCUUCGGCACUACUCGGAAGAAGAAUAUGAGCAACACAUGGUCCAAUUCGCAUUGUAUGGAAGUAAAACCGAAGCAUUAGACCAAAAGCAAACCUUAUUCAUAUUUUUAGUUACUGAUAACAAUUUCUUUCCCCUCUUAUUAUCAUCUUAAUUAAGAAAUAUAGUAAUUCGUUAACUUUUUGGGAAAUUAAAAAGGAUGGCAAUAUACAAUAUUCUUGUGUUGAUGACCUUAAAAGCUAGUUCCCUUGAAACAGGAAAACUGGUAUCGUUUUUCAAAGCACAUAAAUGAUAUAUCCCAGCUUUCAAUGUGAUCGAAAGAUUUCAUAGCCACACUCAAAAUUAAUAAAUGAUCCCUAAGAAUUACGAAAAUGAUAUCAAUGAAAUUACAAACUCUUCAAGAGUUUAUAGAACAUUAAUUGAUCCAAAGCCAAUACAAACUGCUUACUAGUACAGCAUCAAGAGAGCCAUUUAUUUUUUCAGUAGGCAAAUUAAACAACUGCAGCAGUCACUAGCGAGCUAGUAUAGACCAAUUGUUCAUCUACCAACUAAUUGUGAAAUUGUUACAUCAUUGCUUGAACAUAUUUCUGAUCCAAUCGUGGCUUUAUUUUGUUCGUCUUCAUAAUCUUUGUUUGAGAAAUCGGAGUCCAUUCGAUGAGUCUAUCAGCAUUCUUUAACUAAUUAUUAGAUUAAAUGUAUAAAUUUAAAACUAGUAAAAGUUUAGAAUAUGAAAGAACCUUGAUUCAUUCAAGAAAUAAUUAAAAUUUUAAUCCUUUUCAAACUGAUUAAUAUUAACCUUAUCAUUAUAAGAAAACACGAUUUAAAAGAAAAAAAAAAUCUCACAAAGUUGGUGUGUGGAAUAGUCAAUACGUUGUGUCCUUGAUUUUUUACAAACUCUUAAGAGUCUAUAGAUGUAGUUAGUGAUAUUACAUUACAUUAAUUGAUCCAAAUCCAAUACAAACUGCUUACCAGUACAGCCUCAAGAGAGUCAUUUAUUAUUCAAUUGGCAAAUUAAACAACUACAGUAGUCACUAGCAGCUUGCCAAGAGCUAUAGCGUAGAUCAAUUGUUAUCUACCAACCAAUUGUGAAAUUGUUACAUCAUUACUUGAACAAAUUUCCAAUCCAAUCGUGGCUUUCCUUUGUUCAUCUUCGUAAGCUUGCUUUGAGAAAGUUUCAGGCUUCUUUGGAGUCAUUAUAUCAGCCGUGCUCUCAUUUUCGAGCAUCGAAGAAACUUCCAGCAUAGAAGGUCUAUCGUCUGGGUUCUCCUGAACACACAACAGAGCUAUUUGCAGACAUGUUAGCAAUUUCCACGAGGAAUGCGUAUCAUCUAGUGAUGUAUCCAUUAACCCCAUGCCUUUCCCAUCUUUCCACAGCUCAUAAGCCUGUAAAUAUCGAAUAUGUUAUUGAGUUACAUUCAAUUAAUUAGCACUAUAAAGUUUUGAUCCAGUGUGCAUUAUAAAGGGGGUUAUGAAGAAACUUACAUACUGUACAAGGCUUAAAUUUUCAUUCUGGCCAGAUUGAACGAACAAUCUUCUUCCACUUAUAAUUUGCAAAAGUAAAACCCCAAAACUGUAGACAUCAGAUUUGGUGGAGUAGAUGCCUCUCGUCACAUACUCAGGAGGGAUAUAGCCACUGUUGUACCAAGUACUUACAAAUAUCAGUUAAAUUGUUUGACCUAAAAGGUUAAGCUGAUUGGUAAAGGCUCAACAAUAGUAUUAAAGACAAGUCGAAAAAUAGACGUAUAUACACUUACUGUGUUCCAACAAUUCGACUGGUGUUUGCUUCAAGGUCGUCUUUCACAAAAAUUCUAGCUAAGCCAAAAUCUGAUAUUUUAGGCUUCAUAUCUUCAUCCAAUAAAACGUUACUAGCUUUCAAAUCUUGAUGAAUAAUUGUUAAUCUAGAAUAUUCUUGAAGAUAGAGAAGCCCUUGAGUUAUUCCUUAAAUGAUAUGAAUGCGUUUUUUCCAAUCCAAAAUAAACCUUCGGAUGGAAUCUACAUCAAAUAUAAGUAUAGUUGGACGGUCGGUAGCAUUAGCAUUUGGAGAUGAGAAAGCAAAUGGAGGCACAUAAAUUAAAAAUUAAGCAGUUAAGCUCAUACCAAAAAGGAAAUAGUCCGAGCUUCGUUUUGGCAUGUACUCAUAGAUCAGCAUUUGUUCUUCUCUGUCAAUGCAAAAACCUAAAACCCUAAUAAGAUUUACAUGUUGGAGUUUUGCAGUAAGCAUAACCUCAUUCUUGAACUCCUCAAAUCCUUGUUUGGAUGUCUUUGAGAGUUUCUUCACAGCUAUUACCUGUCCAUCAGGUAAUACACCCUGCAAACAACCCCAAAACAUUAAAAAGAAAAAAAAACGCAAUGUUCAUAUACAUGUGUGUGUGUGUAUUUCGCUAAUUAAUUAAUAAGAUGAGAGAUAGCCAAGCUAUCGAUAUAUAACCUUGUAAACAGGGCCAUAUCCACCCUCCCCGAGCUUAUUUUCAAUUGAAAAUCUAUCCGUGGCCACCUCAAUAUCAGCCAAGCUAUAUUCUCUAAGAUCAGGAUCAUUGCUGUUAAAAUCUCCAGCAUGUGCUUGACUGUUUGCUCCGUCCUUUGAUGACUUGGCUGAGUCAAUUACUAUCCCAAUUAAUAUCAACCAAGGAAAAAAAAAAAAAAAAGCUAAUUUAAGUAAAUUGCCCACUUCUUCAACUGCGCUAAAUAGAAUAGAAGUAAAAAUAAUCCUAAACCAGUGUAGAAGAAGUUACCUUUUAAUUUGGGGUUUUUCAUCCAGCAGUAGUAAUAUAGACAAAAACCUAGUAGAAGAAUACAAGCUGCAGUUGUAGGCAAAACAAUUACCCAUAAUGGUCGCUUAUUUUGACCAUUCUUGUCAUCCUCUUCAGCUGAAAAGUCAAAUCACUUUGCGUUGGUUAGCCAUUGAUGCUGAAAUAAAGAUCUUAAUUCAAGUCAUUAUCCAGAAAAGUGAUCAACGGAUUGCAGUGAGUGCGGAAUUCCAUUUGCUUACCUGCAGCUUGAGAAAGCAUCCAAUCAUGAUCAUAGGAAACUAGCCACACAUGGUAACCGCGUAGCUUCUUCUCCUUGGCAUAAGCAACCUUCACUCUAAUGGCCUCCACAUCAUCAAAACCAAACCAAAUCUUCCCAAUCGAGCAGUAGUUCACCACAUAAGUUGAAUUGUACAUAACUUGGACAUUAGGACCAUAGCUCUUGAUGCGAUUCUUGAUUUCCUUGUAAGUCACAAGACCAUUUUCACUCAAAGCUGCUCCCGUUGCUGCUGCACCAAUACCAUUGUCCUCAGGUUUCACAAGCUUCCAUGCAUAGCCAUAGAAAGGCAAACAUAAAACCAAUUUAUCAGCCGAUAACCCUUCCUCAAUCCAUUCCGUGAUUCCGUAUUCAGUACUAUAGUCACUAUUUGGAUCAUACAGAGCCGCAUGAGCACCAGUAAAAUUUGUCCACGUAGGGGCUGAGUAAUCAGUAGUGAAAACAUGGACCCAAUUCAAGUACUGUCUUAUAAAGUCGACUGGAUAAGUUGCUUCUGUUAAGAAUGGUGAAUAUGAAACCGUUGCCGUCAAAAUCAACUGUGAUUGGCUCGAGUUAUUUCUUGCUUCUAAAUCUACGGCAGCUCGCCACUCUUUAAAGAGAAUGGCAAUAUUGUAAUUAUCCCAGCUUGUGUUUGCCUUAGACCAAGACAGAUCUAAGCCUUGAAAGCCAUAAAGCCUUGCUAUGUUUAUUGAGGAGUCAAUGAAGGAUUUCCUGGAAGAAGGAUUGCUUGCCAUGGAAGAAUAAGUUGAAUAGCUUACAUCAUUUCCUCCUCCGAUGGAGAGAAGUGUAGUGAUUGAUGGGUUCUUUAUUUUGACUGUGUGCGUGAAGUUGGAGAAUUGUUUUUCAUCCGAAGGUGAUAAAGAGAGCUCGUAGGAAGUUGAGUUGACAUCAGCAAAACCACACAUAAGGUGAGUGAAGAGAGCAGAAUUUACAUCUGAAACAGGGAACCCAUCGCCUGAAUCCCAGUAACCAGCUCUGAUUAAAGUUUGUGCUCUUGCAGGAAGCGAUUCUGAAAAUAUAAAAAUGUGGAGGACAAGAAUGAUAAUUUUGGAUGCCAUUGUGGGAACCUGGCUGCUUGAGGCAUACCUAGUAUGUGAUUAUAUAUUUGUACACACACAAAAUGUAAUGGAGAAAUUAUCCUAUACCGAUUGAGAUUAGUUAUUGCACUAAUAAUGCAAACUUGAGUCAACUUUCAACUUAUGAGCUUAGUCCAUAAGUUUUUAUAAUACGAUAUCAAAAUCAAGUUAUGAAUGAGGGACCCUAUAAUACCUUCCAACCUAACUUAAUAAUUAAUCUUAGCCAAUGUGACAUACUUGUUCUAUCGCUUUAUCACGACCAAGUCGAUCUUUUAGCUUUGUCUUUUUUUCAUGAUAAUAAGUGAUAAGAUUGAAGUUCUUAAAUUAAGCUAUGACUUUUUACCUCCGCUUAGCUUGACUUCUGAAGUUGGAGACUCGUUCUUUUGUAUUGACUUUGUUGGUAUUUAAAUGAACUCGGAGUCCUCGACGAGUUUCUGAAGCGAAGUCAUUAUUCCUCUAUGACUCCAUCCAUGCAAUUGGAAGGCAAAAUCUUGUGAAAAUAUUUUCUAAGUUGAUUCAGUCCAUGAUCAACGUGCACAAAACGCAAAAUCUUGCGAAAAUCAAACCCGUCCUCACUCAUGAGCUCGAUUUCUAGCUUAAACUCCUCCUCACUCAUGACCUCACUUUAAUUACAGCUUGUCAUUGAAUUGAGUGUUGCCUUAAUUAAGCCAUCAACUUAAUAAAGUGAUGGUCAUUAAGAAAUACACUUAGUUACUUCCUGAUGGUAAGAUUCAAUAAUAUUGUAAUUUAAAAAAAAGAAGAAAAGAUCCAUAUACCUUUUCCUUGUGUAAUUUAAUUUUCAGUCCAGUCCACCCUCCCAUUUUAUCAUAAAAGUCUAUACAAACAUACGUUUUACUCAAUGUUUACUUAGAAACAAAUGGUGGGCGUACGAGUGCCGAUCUAGUACCACUCUCGUAUACUUGGUGGGAUUCGGCUUCACCAAAUUUGUAGCAUAUAUUUUACUUUAAUGAGAAAAUCAAAUAAUUAUUGAACAAAUAAUUUUUUUUUCAAUAUACUUUCUUAAAAUGUAUGGAGUUGGUAAAGUGCAAAUUCAUUUUUUAGCCCUUUGACUCCUCCAAAAUCCAAACUCAAAUUAAUGGUCAGUUAAAUAAUGUUACUUGAAAAUCAUUUCCUAUCUAGAAUUUGUUUAAUUCUAUUAAUUUACAAUCGUUUUUCAUUUUACUUAAUUAAUUAAAGUGAAUUUAUUAUGUAUACAUCUACAUACGUAAAAUCUUAAAAUUCAGUGUUGAAUUGAAUUGUACUAAAUUUUUUAUAAUUUUUUGUGAGACCUGCGUUUUUAACAGUUUAAUAUUAAUAUUGAUAGCACAUAAUAUACCGGAUUAAGAGAGAUUGAUUUCGACUGCUACAAGAUUUUUAGGAUUGCAUGCACAAGGGUUUAAAAACAAAGUAUACACUUAAUUACACUAAACGAGGGUGCAUUUUUAUGAUGAAAUAAAAACUAUGUACAGGUUGUAAAAGUGGCUCCAUAAUUAGUGUACAUUAACAAUCAUCUAGCUACCACUUCCGAAAAUGAUAAAUCACAAGCCGAACAUUUUUCCAAUUGUGUUGUAGAUAAUAGUUCAAUCCCAAUUUCAUCAACUUGUUUUGAGAAAGCAGGCUUCUUGGGAGUAUUUAUAUUUGUGGUUUCAUUCUUGAGCAUUGAGGAAACUUCCAGCAUUGAAGGUCUAUCGUUUGGAUUCUCCUGGACACACAACAAAGCUAUUUCCAGACAUCUCAUUAAUUUACAAGGGGAAUUUGUAUUGUCUAGGAAUGAAUCCACAAACUCCACGCCUUUGCCACCUUUCCACAACUGAUAUGCCUGAAAUUAUCAAGUACCAUCUCGUUACAUAAUUUAUACUUCUUAAUUAAGUGCGCAUAUGUGUACUCAGGGUUACUAUAGCCGAAGAAACUUACGUGCUCUAGAAUGCUUAAAUUUUCAUUGAUGCCACAUAACACUGAAAGCCUCUUUCCACUUAUGAUUUGUAGAAGUAAAACUCCGAAACUAAAAACGUCUGAUUUGGUAGAGUAUACACCUUGUCUGGCGUACUCAGGAGGAAUAUAGCCUCUGCAUUCAAAAUAACCAAGUAUAUAUGAGUAAGGGAUUUUGCAAUUUAAUAAAUUUGUAAAACCCAUUUUAAAUUGUGGUAAAAGUCCAUUCUGCAUUUUAUUAAAGUGCUGAAUUCCUUAUUCGAAACCCAAUAUAUGUAUAACAAACAGAAGCUUGAGUAAAGGAUAUCAUUUAGAUGUAAUAUACUUACAUUGUUCCCACAAUUUGUUCUGUAUUCGCUUCGAGACUCUCUUUUGCAAAAAUCCUAGCCAUACCAAAAUCUGAAAUUUUAGGUUUCAUACCUUCACCUAACAAAACAUUACUGGCUUUCAAGUCUCGAUGAAUAAUAGUCAGUCUUGAGUAUUCUUAGAGGUAUAAAAGCCCUUGAGUUAUCCCUUCAAUGAUAUGAACACGUUUUUUCCAAUCCAAAAGAAGUCUUUUGAUGGGAUCUACAACAAAUAUAUAGUUUUGGACAAUAAGUGAUAUACAAAUGAAUUAUAUACACAUUUGAUAUUAACUUGAUUUCAGAACAAACCAAAAAGGUAGCAAUCCAAGCUUUUGUUUGGCAUGUAUUCGUAGACCAGCAUCCGUUCCUCACUCUCAAUGCAAAAACCUAAAACUCUAAUAAGAUUUACAUGUUGGAGUUUUGCAGUAAGCAUAACCUCAUUCUUAAACUCCUCAAAUCCCUGUGCGGAUGAUUUCGAAAGUUUCUUCACUGCUAUCACCUCUCCACAGGGUGAUACACCCUGCAACCCAAAAAAAAAAACCACGUUCAUAUAAAGCUUUCACUAGUUAGAGAAGCUGAGAAAUGUUAGCCAAACAAUAUGCUACCCCCCAAAGUUGAGGGCACCAUUUUAAGUUCUUUAAGUCCCCAUGGACGCAAAAUGUAAAUCUCCUCUCACAGAAUAUGGAUAUGGGUAGAGGUAUCUUCCUAAAAUGUUAGUCGAAGUAGUUAUAUCCCUCUAGUGUGAGGUUAGAGGUCUCAUCUCUAAUAGGCAUAGAUUUUUAAAUUAUAUGUUUUGGGCCUCUGAAUUCUACGACGAGUGUACAAAUUCAAACUUCCGAUAGGAUCCAAAUUGAAACAUUGUGGAUUGUAACAAAUUAAAAUAUAGGUACACACACACACACACACACACAUGUUACCUUGUAAACAGGACCAUAUCCACCCUCCCCAAGCUUAUUUCUAAUUGAAAAUCCCUCGGUGGCCGCCUCAAUAUCAGCCAAACUAUAUACUCUGAGAUUAGGAACAUUUCUGUUAAAGUCUCCAGCUUCUGUUUCAUUAUUUGCUGUCGUGUUUGAUGCUUUAGCAGAAUCCUCUGUUCCUAACAUCAACCAAGAGUACAUAUUAGAUAAAUAAUUGUAUGUCAGCCUCAGAUUUAUGUGUAUAUAUAUGAAUGAAAUUCAUGCUUAAUUAUAAUUGAUAGCUGAAACUUGUUACCUUCUAUUAAAUUGAGCCUUUUCAUCUGGUUGUAUUUAUAUGCACAACAGCCUAGAAGGAGAGUCAAAGCUGCCGCUGCAGUAGAAAUGAGUGCAAUGGACAGAUGGCGGUUAUUACUAUGUUCAUCUUUGUCAGCUGAAGCAGAAGUAAUCCUUUCUUUUUGUGCUGGAAAUAUGUAUAGUUCACCAAUUAAUAAUUACUAGCUAGAGAUGCCAUAACAAUCAUUAUUAAUCAGAGAGAACAAUUAUUGCAUAGAUAAAUACCUGCAGCCUGAGAAAGCACCCAAUUAUGAUCAUCAUAAUCAACUCGCCACACAAAGUAACCACGUAACUUCUUCUCCUUAGCAUAUGCAACCUUCAUUCUAACGGCCUCGACAUCAUCAAAACCAAACCAAAUCUUCUCAAUCGAGCAGUAAUUGACCUCAUAAGUUGAAUUGUACAUAACUUGGACAUCAGGGCCAUAGGUCUUGAUGUGAUUCUUGAUUUCCUUAUAAGUCACAAGGCCGCUAUCAUGCAAAGCUGGUCCUGCUGCUGCUGCAACAAUACCAUUGUCUUCAGGUUUCACAAGCGUCCAUGCAUAGCCAUAGAAAGGCAAACACAUAACCAACUUAUCUGCCGAUAAUCCUCUGUCAAUCCAUGCCUUUAAAACCUGAUCGGUACUUCUAACAAAGCCGCCGCUACUUGAGCCAUAGAGAGCCGCAGGUGGCGCCGUGAAGUUUGUUGACACAGGCUCGUAGUAGCUAGCAGUAACCGCAUGAACCCAAUUCAAGUUUCGUUCUAUCGAAUUCAAAAGAUAUGAAUUCGCUGGUGGUGAAUAAUGAAAUCUUGCGGUCAAGAUCAGCUGGGAUUGCUGGCGACUAGAGUUUUUUGCCUCUAAUUUUGUAGCAGCAAUUCGCCACUCGUCAAAAAGUAAACCAAUAUUGAACAAAUCGGUGCUUGUGUUUGGAGCUGUCCAAGCAAAGUCUAGGCCCUGAAAGCCAUAAAGCCUAGCUAUUCUUAUUGAAGAGUCGAUGAAAGAUUUUCUGUGAGAAGAAUUGCUCACCAUUGAAGAAUAAAUAGAAUAGUUUGUAUCCAUUCCUUGUCCAAUGGAGAGAAGUAUAGUGAUUGAUGGGUUCUCUUUUUUCACAGUGUCUACGAAUUUGGCGAUUUGAUUUUCAUCGGAUGGUAAUGAUAAAGAUAGCUGGUAAGUGGUGGAAUUGAUAUCAGCGUAAGAGCAAAUAAGGUGAGUGAAGAGAUCAUAAUUUAUGCCCGAAAUGGUGGACACUUCGCUUGAAUCCAAGUAACCGACCCUGAUCCACGGUUUUGCUUUCGCGGGAUAAAAUUCUGAAUAGAAUAACAUGUGGAAGAUGAUGCUGAUAAUUAUGGAUGCCAUUUGAGACUUUGUUAGGAAUGGAAAUGGAUCCACACAAGAGAAAUUAAAUAAACACUAGUUUCACAGAUCAUUUAAGUACUUAUGUAAACUAUUAACUUAUAGGUUCAUUUCGUUCCAAAAAAAUCUUAUGUGCUUCUGAUAGGGAAACAUACAUUGCAUGUUAUGAUGAUGAUAGGCGAUGCGACCAUUGCCUGAGAACUAAGAUUUUCUUCCAUCGCUUGGGUGACCUUUCACGAAGAAAAAUGAUGUUUUGAUUUACAUUUGGUUAAACUGAUGACAAAUUUCGGGCCAUAAAUAUCACUAUUGUUUUAUUAAAUAAUAAAAAAAUUAAUUUUACAUGUACGUUGAAAGUUAAUAUUGCAAUCACCAACAAGUGCGUAGAUCAACUGACAAGGGGUUGUUCUAGCUUAACCAAGGUCCUUGGUUCGAGACUUGAGAAUGCAGCUACGUUAAAUACUUGUUGGGAGAGUUUUGUCAUCCUAAUGGCCUUACACGGCUCGAAUCUGAAUUAGAGUUUUGUCACCCUAAUGGUCCUACACGGCUCGAAUCUGAAUUAGUCGAGACCCACUGAUACCAAAUGGCUUCAUAUACCAAAGAAAAAGUUAAUAUUGCAGUCUUUUGAGACUGUGUUGACGUUUAUUCGGUUCGUUUAUUAUAUAUUCCCGUUUUUCUCCCUGUCUGUUUGCUACAGUGCUCUUACAAGGAUAGCAUCUUUAAUGCACCUCAGAAGUAGUUAAGAAAGUCUUGAUAAAAAACCAGACAUUUUCUAUCUACUCAAAACGUAGUUAUUGGACUAAUUAAGAUUCUAAUCCCUUUAAUAAAUAUUCAAAAAGGGUUACUGUCACUACUCAGUCCUUGUUGUUUUAUAAAAAAAAAAAAAAAAGAUAUUUAAAGAGGCAUCACAUAAAUCCUUCCUAAUUACAUUUUGUUUCAUUCAAGUUGUUGACUUAAUUUGACUGCCUGGAAAAAUUAGUAAAGAGGUAAAAAUAAAAAAAAAGGUAAAUUCUAGUUAUUAGACUAAAUAUAUAGUAUAAAUUUGCAGCAACUAGCAAAAAGUUUAGAAUAUGAAAAAUCCUAUUUCAUUUAAAAAACAAUGAAAAUUCUAAUCAUUUUAAAAAAAAAAAACUCUGAAAGUUUGAAAAACUAAGAUUUUAAGAUCCUUUUACAAUAACCAUAAUUAACACAAAUUUCCGAAUUAUUAUUACAUAAUAAAAUUUUACUAAUAGAAAUAAGAAAACAAAACAAAUAGCACUCAAAUCGGAUAUAUAAAAAAAAAUCUUGAAAUAAAUAGAAAAAAUAAGAAAAUAACUAAAACUUGCAAAACGACCAUGAAAGAAAUGAAAUUUCCGGCCGAACCAAGGGGCCAAUGUGCAUAGUAUUAUUGGACUAGAUUUAUCAGACCACAAGCUUCAAAACAAUAUAUUAUAUUUCCUAAAUGGACACAUGUAGGUUAAGUUACUCAAUUGUAUUAGGAGCUGUCCAAGCAAAAUCUAGGCCCUCAAAGCCAUAAAGCCUAGCUAUUCUUAUUGAAGAGUCGAUGAAAGAUUUUCUGUGAGAAGAAUUUCUCACCAUUGAAGAAUAUAUAGAACAGUUUGUAUAUCUUCCUUGUCCAAUUGAGAGAAGUGUAGUGAUUGAUGGGUUCUUUUGUUUCACAGCGUCUGUAAAUUUGGGGAAUAUUUGAUUUCCAUCAAAUGGUGAUGAUAAAGAUAGCUGGUAAGUGGUGGAAUUGAUAUCAGCGUAAGAGCAAAUAAGGUGAGUGAAGAGAUCAUAAUUUAUGCGCGAAAUGGCGGACACUUCGCUUGAAUCCAAGUAACCGACCCUGAUCCACGGUUUUGCUUUCGCGGGAUGAAAUUCUGAAUAGAACAACAUGUGGAAGAUGAUGCUGAUAAUUAUGGAUGCCAUUUGAGAGGCUUAAGCUUCUUAAUUACCACUUCGAUGGGAAUGGAAAUGAAUGCACACUGACACCAGACACAAUAGAUGAGAAAGUACAACGUCACACACUCAAGAAAUCACAAGCUCACCACCACAGCAAACAACAAAAGGAUACAGAAAAAUAUUCACCACCUAAAGUUGUUAAGCUACGGAUACAGAGCUUAAAACACUCACCACUCAAUGGAAUCCACCAAAGAGAUACAGAGUUUGAUAAUAGCUCAAAGUUCAUUCAAUUUCUAAAAUUAAUCUUCGUCCUUUUGUUACAACUACAUAAGCUUAAAUAAUUUUCUUGGAACAAUCCUCCAAGCAUAGAUUUACUACAAAGAAACCCUUCAAAUAACUUGACUUUAAAGACCAACAUUAAAGCUAGACAUUAAUAAAACAUUAGUAUGCUUAAAACACAACAAAGAACAUUAAAAAAAAUCUAAGUCCCGAAAUAUUCUUCUUGACUCAAAACUGAACAGUCUGCACUUAACUGAUCAUAACUUACUGUAGAAAACUCCAAAUUUAGAUUAGUAAAAUUCAUUGGAAAGCUAACAGAAAUAUCUUUCCAAUGAUGUAUGGCUCGAAAAUUAAUUCGAUCUCAUGCAGUACAGUUUAAUUCCAAAAGAUGCCCCUUCUGCACAGAAAUUCUGCUCACUUGAUUAAUGUAAGAACUUGAGCUGCACUUGGUAUAACUUGAUUACCAAAUAUUUCAAACACUCCUGUGUUACACACUAAGAGAAAUUAAAUAAACACAAGGUUCACAGUUCAUUGAGCUCUCAUGUUAACGUAUAGGUUCAUUUCGUUGCAAAAAAAAAAAAUCUUACGUGCUCCUGAUAGUGACACAUACACUGCAUGUUAAGAUGAUGAUGGGCGAUGCGACCAUUGCCUAAGAACUAAGAUUUUCUUCUACCGCCUGGGUGACUUUCCAUGAAGAAACAUGAUGUUUUGAUUGACAUUUGGUUAAACUGAUGACAUAUUUUGGGCUACAAAUAUUAGUAUUGUUUUAUUAAAUAAAAAUAAUAAUAAUUUUACGUGCAUGUUGAAGGUAAUAUUGCAGUCUUUUGAGCCUGUGUUGAAUUUCAUUCGUGUGCGUUCAUUUAUUAUCCAUCCCCUUUUUUCUCUGAGUCUGCUAGCCGUAGUCAUCUUAAAACGAUAACAUGUUUAAUGCAUGUAAAUGCACCUCAGAAGUAGUCAAGAAAGACUUGAUCAAACCAGAAAAUUUUCCUCUUAACACAGACGUAGUUAUCGGACUAAUUAAGAUUCUAAUCCAUUUAAGAAAUAUUCAAAAAGGGUUAUUGUCACUACUUUAGUCCUUGUUGUUUUAUUAAAGAAAGAAAAAAAAAAGAAUAUAUUUAAAGAAGCAUCACAUAAAUCCUUCCUAAUUACAUUUUGUUUCAUUCAAGUUCUUGACUUAAUUUGACUGCUUGGAAAAAUUAGUAAAAAGGUAAAAAUAAAAAAAAUGUAGAUUGAUAUUAAGGAAUUCAGCAAGCAAGCUACAAGAAUAUCCAAAAGCGUGUAAUUUAUGUUUAAGGAAAUAAGUGGAGAUAGAGAUGAAAUUGUAAAUUCAUCCCAAUCUUAAGUGGUUUAAUUCAAGAUGUAUGUUAGCUACAAGCACAGUAAGCAUGGUGAUGUCUCUCUUUAACGCAGGGGACACAACAAAAACACUGUAUUUCUACCCUUUUAAAAAAUUCCAAUAAUAUGUACACGUUAUAUAUAAGAUAUAAAAAUCAUUACUUUUAGUAUAAGAUAUAAAAAAAAAAUCAAUUAAUAACCAUUAGAGAAUAAAAAUUUAUGUAAUUGAUGCAGAUAAAUGGAAUCAAGUAGUAACAUUUCCUUCUCAUUGAAGAGAAAAGAUUUAAAAAAAAAAAGGGGAACGCAAACAUGACAAUUUUUUUUAUCCGCACACGCCAUGAUAAUCGAUAAUCCGAUAUACCAACCGCGUCUAAUUGUCUGAAUUCUCCAGCUUACCAAGCUUGCUCAAUCGCACCGACAGACACUGACAAUGGGAGAUUAAUCACCACUCGCAGUAUUCGACGCGUGAAGGACACAUUCACCAAUAAUUUAUAGCGGACAGUAGCAUUCCCGAUGCUGCACGGAGAAAAAUAGUUGGAUUUGCGUAAGUUAAAUUGACUUGACUCGAGAGAGUGAAGAAUGGUGGUGGUUGCUGUUAAGCAGUCAGUACUUCUGGCGACUGCUUGGCUUACACGCAGUUCUUGGGGGUGUCAUUUGACUGUGAAAAAGAAUUUUGGCUUUAUUGAUAUCAUGUUGGAUUUGGAAUUUUGGAUGGCUUCGUUUGGACCAUAAGACGCUAUCUCAUCCAUAACACGUUAGCAGUCCUUCUCACGGGAGAAAAACUGGGGUGGGAUUGAGCAAGAUUAUAUGAGUCCUCGAAGUGUCACUUACAAAUUUUUAAUUAUAAAUGACUGCCGAAUAAUUAAUCAAAAUUUUAUUAUUUAUGGUUAUAAUUAGAAUGAUAAGAAAUCAAUUCGAUGUUAUUCUUUGUGGCUCUGCUUAGAAUACUAAAAAAUCAAGUCGACUUACUUAUCUUUAUGUUGAUCAUUACAGGCCUUUUGAAUUUUUUAUCUACUUUAGUUGUAAGUAAUAUAACUUCACUUUUUUUUCUUUACUUUGGUUUGGUUUUCUUUAUAACUCAUAAAAAUUUUCUCGUUAAGAUUGUAUGAACCAAUUGAAACUUCAGAUUUGUAUGAACCAAUUGAAACUUCAGAUUCAUACUAGAAUUAUGAUGAUUCAAUAAAACCUUCAAAUUAAAUUCACAUAUUCCAUGAGGGAGAACCCUUGGAUUACAUUUGUUCAAGUUUAUGCUUUGAGUAAAAUAAAAGUAGAAAUAGGAAUUUGAAAGAAGAAAUUUAGUUAUAAAAAAUUAUCAAAUAAUUAAUUGUUUGGCAUUUAUUUUAUGGGUCCCAACCCAUGUGAUCCGCCAAAUGAGACGUCUUAUGUGAUUGGUUAUGCCAUGGUGCGCUAGCCACAUUUAAGUUUCUCUCUUCUUAUGGAUAUAACUGUAUAUGGGUGGCGUUAUAUAGUGCCCCACAUGGGCUCAUUAAAAUUAUUUUAUGUGCAUUUUAAACAUACCCUCUUUAUUGAUUUGAAACACCAAAAAUACCUCUCUUAAAUUUUAAAAAUAUAAAAAAAAAUUACGUGUUAAAACAAUGCUUGAUGUCUCUAGCCUAACAGUUAGCACACCUAUUGUAUACACUUUUACUUUUUUCUUCUCUAAUUUUUUACUCCUCUUUUCUCUAAUUCUUCACACUUCACUACUCUUUUAUCUCUAAAAAAAUUAAGCAAUCUCUAGAAGCUUAUUACUAAUUUUUUGAUCAAAUUACUUAUAUAAGUACUCUUGAUUGAUUAACACUUCUUUAAUUUUUUUUGGGGAUUUCUCUUAGAUGAAAGAAUUAAGGUUAUGUUCUAAAAAAAAUUUAACUCCCAUAUUAUGGUUUUGAUAAUGCGAUUAUCCUUAAAUUUUUCAACAUAUUAAAAUACUUUGAAACAACUGUAAAUGUGUUGAAUGAAAUAUUCUAAUAAAUUUAUAUUUUGGUACUUAUUAAUUAUUUAACUUUUUUCUUAAAAUUACAUUACUAUUUCAGCUUAGCCCUUGUGACAUUAAAUUCCUGAUAGCGCCACUAAAUGUAAGUUUUAAACUCAUGUUCGAUUUCUCCCAUGUUCAAACUCUACCUUUAAUUUAUAUUUCAAUUUUGUGGCCUACUUUUGAGUUUCUAAUUUCACAUAGAAGGCAUGUUAAACUUACCUUAGAUGCAAUAUUAAGAAAUCAAAUACACCAUGUGCAUUAGUGGGGGCGAAAAAAAAAAGAAAAGAAAAAGUCUUUUAUUGGUAAAAGAUGAAAGCUCUUCGGCACUGAUCAGAAGAAAAAUCAUUCUCCAUACAAUGAGCAAAACAAAGUCCAAUUCGCAUUGCAUAGAAGUAAGACCGAAGCAUUGGACUAAAAGCAUACACUAGUCUUAUUUUUCGUUACUGAUAACAUUUUUUUUCCCCUUAUAUUAUCACCUUAAUUAAGAAAAAUAAUAAUUUGUUUAACUAUUUGCGAAAAAGGAUGGCAAUAUACAAUAUUAUUGUGUUGAUGACCUUGAAAGCCAAUUCUUUUGAAACAGAAAAACUGUUUUUGUGUUUUGAUUAUGUUAAGCAAAUGAAUGGUCUUUAAGAGUUAUGAAAAUGUUAUCAAUAAAAUUACAAACUCUUAAGAGUUUAUAGAUGUAGUUAGUGAUAUUACAUUACAUUAAUUAAUACAAUACAAACUGUUUACUAAUAGAGCCUCAAGAGAGUAAUUCAUUAUUUAGUUGGCAAAUUAAACAACUGCAGCAGUCACUAGCAGCCUUCCAUGAGCUAGCAUAGAUCAAUUGUUCAUUUACCAACCAAUUGUGAAAUUGUUACAUCAUUACUUGAACAUAUUUCCAAUCCAAUCAUGGCUUUGUUUUGUUCAUCUUCAUAAGCUUUGUUUGAGAAACUUGCAGGCUUCUUUGGAGUCAUUAUAUCAGCUGUAUUCUCAUUUUCGAGCAUCGAAGAAAUUUCCAGUAUAGAAGACCUCUUGUUUGGGUUCUCCUGAACACAUAGCAAAGCUACUUGGAGACAUGUCAAUAAUUUCCACGAGGAAUUCGUAUCAUCUAGUGAUGGAUCCAUUAACUCCACGCCUUUCCCAUCCUUCCACAACUCGUAUGCCUGAAAACAUCAAAUAAGUUAUCGAGUUACAUUCCAUUGAUUAGCACUAUAAUGUUUUGAUUCAGUGUGUAUUAGAAAGGGGGUUAUGAAGAAACUUACAUACUCUACAAGGCUUAGAUUUUCAUUUUGACCAUAUCGAAUGAAAAGUCUUCUUCCACUUAUAAUUUGUAGAACCAAAACUCCAAAACUGUAGACAUCAGAUUUAGUGGAGUAGACUCCUCUUCCAAUAUAUUCAGGAGGAAUAUAGCCUCUAUAGUAUCGAGUAAUUACAAAUGUUACUAAAACUAUUUGACGUAAAAGAUUAAGUUGAUUGGUAAAGGUUCAACAAUAAUAUUAAAGACAAGUCAGAAAAAAAAUAGAAAAAUAUAUACUUACUGGGUUCCAACAAUUCGAUUUGUGUUUGCUUCAAGAUCAUCUUUCACGAAAAUUCUAGCCAAGGCAAAAUCUGAUAUUUUAGGUUUCAAAUCUUCAUCCAACAAAAUAUUACUAACUUUUAAGUCUUGAUGAAUAAUUGUUAAUCUAGAAUAUUCUUGGAGAUAGAGAAGCCCCUGAAUAAUUCCUUGAAUGAUAUGAAUACGUUUUUUUCCAAUCCAAAAUAAACCUUCUGAUGGGAUCUGCAUCAAAUGUAAAUUUAGUUGGACGGUCAGUACCAUUAGCAUUUGGAGACGAGAAAUGCAAAUUGAGGCACAAAAAUUAGAAAUUAAGCAGUUAAGCACAUACAAAAAAGGAAAUAGUCUAAGCUUCGUUUUGGUAUAUACUCAUAGAUGAGCAUAUAUUCUUGUGUGUCAAUGCAAAAACCCAAAACUCUGAUCAAAUUUACGUGUUGAAGCUUUGCAGUAAGCAUAACCUCAUUCUUGAACUCCUCAAAUCCUUAUGUGGAUGUCUUCGAUAGUUUCUUCACUGCUAUUAUUUGUCCAUCAGAUAAUACACCCUGCAAGCACCCCCCAAAAUAUAUGUUUUUUUAAAAAUCAGUGUGUUCACACAUGUUGAAAAGUCAUGCACGUGACAUUGAAAUUCAAAAAUGAAUGCAAAAUUUCAAAUGGCUACCAAACAUUUGAAGAAAAAAUGGAAAGUUGGCAAAUUUGUCAAAUUUGCCAAAUGGACACCAUUGACUAUUGGCUUAGGUUAUGUGGAAUAGUAAAAGGGUUGGUGCAAUAGUGCCAUUAUUUUCCCUAUAAAUAGAUGGCACUUCUUCCAUUCUAAAUCAUCCCAAAAUUGUUAAGCUUAUAAGUUUCUAAGCUUUUGAGAGAAGUGAGAGAAGUGUGUCUGAGGAAUUUAUCUUUCCUGCAGAGUGUGAGAGUACUGGGUAUAUUUGGGUUUCUGGGAAGUGAGAUUCGUUACUCAAAUAUUGUAUUCUAUUAAUUGUUAAAUAAACAAUUAUUCUUUCUUGCCUUCGUGGAUGUAGGUUUAAUUACCAAACCACGUAAAUUCUUGUGUCCUUUAUUUUUCAGUAAUUAUUUGGUGCGCUUGAUUCCGCAUUCCGCGCACAACAAGUGGUAUCAGAGCCGACGGUUCGUACUUGGGGGGAUACGGUACUAUUCACGUAUACGGUACUGUUCACGUAUACGGUAAUGUUCAUGUAUACGGUACUAUUCACGAAUACGUUGGAGACGGCCAUUUGUACUUGGGAGACAGUCUAUUGUAAGUAGUGUGUAUUUUUGCAUGUCUAGGAAAGUUCUGUCAAAAAAGGCGAUAAGAGUCUAAGGAUUCUGGUUUUUAAUUGGGACCGAAUUCCCGUCCAGUUUUCUGGGAACUUUCCUGGUGCAUUUAUUCACGCGAAAUUAACAUCAUAGAGGCUGUUUUUCAAGUGGAAAUAGUUCGUUGAGAAAAAUCGUAGAAGGUGAAACUUCCAGAAUUGGGGAGAGAUCUACCGAGACUAUUUCAGGAGACAUUUCAGGUGGGAGGCGAGAUUUGUCAAAUCGCUAUUCAGCACCUGUUAUAGGAGGCCAGAAGAUCGAUGUUGAAAAGUUUGAUGGGAAAAUCAACUUCGGCAUGUGGAGGCGCGAAGUUAUGGAUGCCCUUAUUCAAAUCGAUCUCGAUGUUGUCCUGAAAAAUAAAAGACACUUGUAUGAUGAAGAAAUUUGGGAUCGUAUGAACGAGAAAGCCUGUGGUCAGAUCAGAUCUUGUUUGACCAAGGAGGUGAAAUACUUGGUGAAAGAUGAGGAGUGUGCAGUGACUUUGUGGCGUACAUUGGAAGAGAAGUACCUGGUGAAAAGUCCUGAAAAUCGUCUUCAUGCAAUGAGCCAAGUAUAUGGCUUUCGAAUGAAGUCUGGGGUGUCAAUGCACGAUCAUGUUUCAAGAUUUAAAAAGUUACUUGCUGAUUUGAAGAAUCUUGAUGAAGAUAUUAAAGAUGAAGUCAAUGCUAUGAUUCUGUUACACUCACUACCAGAGGAAUAUAGCCAUUUUGUGACUACUUUGAUAUAUGGGAAGAGUGUGAUCGUCUUUAAAGAUGUUUGCACAGCAUUGACUAGUUUGGAGAUUCGGAAUAAUGAUAAAAAUUCUGAACGAGCAUCGUCUGAAGCUUUGGUGAGCAGAGAUUGGGCGAUGGAGAAAAAGAUAAAUGGUGGUGGAAAGAAUUCUCGAUCCAAAUCGAGAAGCAGAAAUAUAGCUCGAGAUGAGUGUGCCUUUUGUCAUGAAAAGGGCCAUUGGAGGAAAGAUUGUCCAAAGGCUCAAAAGAGAGAUGGGAAAAAACCAGCAUCAGCAAACAUGGCACGGAAAGAUGAGGACUCUGAUUAUUCACUAAGUAUCACUCCUGCAGCAUAUGUGGCUAGUUCGAGUGAGUGGAUACUUGAUACUGGAGCAACCUAUCAUUUGUGUCAUAUUAAGGAAUGGUUUACGGAUUUUCGUAAUCUGGAAUCCGGUGCAGUUAUGAUGGGGAAUAAUCAACCUUGUCGCACAAUGGGGAUAGGAACAAUUCGGCUCAAAAUGUUUGAUGGAAUGGUCAGAGAACUCAAAGAGGUUAGAUUUGUUCCAGAGAUAAAGAAAAAUCUAAUUUCUGUGGGUGCUUUGGAAGCUAAAGGUUACAAAGUUACCAUUGAAGAUGGCACAAUGAAGUUUACACAUGGGGCUAUGGUGAUUCUGCAAGGGGUUCGGCGUCACAAUCUGUACUAUUUGAAAGGAGGUACAACUGAUGAAGCAAAUGUUGUUGAGGCGCACAGUGACACCACCAAGCUAUGGCAUGUACGACUGGGACAUGCAGGAGAGAAGUCUUUGCAAACUCUGAUGAGGCAUGGACUCUUAAAAGGUAUCAAAACCUGUAAAUUAAAUUUCUGUGAGCAUUGUGUAGUAGGCAAAAAAACAAGGGUCAAGUUUGGUACAGCUAAUCACGAUACUCGUGAGAUCCUUGAAUAUGUUCAUAGUGAUGUAUGGGGACCAACCAAGACUGCAUCAAUUGGUGGAAGCCAUUAUUUUGUUAUAUUUGUUGAUGAUUUCUCUAGACGUGUAUGGGUGUACACCAUGCGAGCAAAGGAUGAGGUUCUAGAGAUUUUCGUGAAGUGGAAGAAAUUGGUGGAGACUCAAACUGGCAGAAAGAUCAAAGUAUUACGAUCUGAUAAUGGGGGUGAAUAUACUUCUGAUCCAUUCUUGCAAGUAUGCCAGAACGAGGGUAUUAAAAGACAUUUCACAGUGAGACAUACUCCGCAACAGAACGGUGUGGCUGAGCGUAUGAAUCGUACUUUACUGGAGAAGGUACGAUGUAUGUUAUCUAAUGCUGGUUUAGAUAAAAAGUUUUGGCCUGAAACUGUGAGCUACGCAAGUCACUUGGUAAAUCGGUUGCCUUCUGCUGCAAUUGGAGGUAAAACUCCUAUGGAAAUGUGGUUUGGAAAGCAUGCACAAGACUAUGAUUCCCUUCGUGUAUUCGGGUGUCCAGCUUAUUAUCAUGUCAAAGAUGGUAAACUGGAUCCUCGUGCUAGAAAAUCUAUCUUUGUGGGAUUCAAAGGUAGAGUAAAGUGCUUCAAGCUUUGGGAUCUCGAAGACAAAAAGUUUGUGUGUAGCAGAGAUGUCACAUUUGAUGAAGCUUCAAUGAUAAAAGCUUCAAGUUCUCAGCAGGUGGAGAACAAGACCACAUAUGUAUUGCAGCGGGUGGAGUUUGAUGCAACUCCAUAUGUACCAGUUAGUUCUACAUCAAAGAAUGGUUCAACUAUGGAGGUGACACCUAAAGUUGAAGAAGAGGUUGUUUCUUCUGAUGUCCCACAAAAUGAAGAAACAAUUGAUGAUGUAGAUGAUGAUGAUUUUAUAGCAACAAGGAGGCCAAGAAGAGAGAUAAAGAAACACGGAUGGCUUACUAAAGAUAUGGUGGUAGCCUAUGCACUUUCAGUUAUUGAUGAUGACAUCCCCAAUACUUUCGGUGAAGCAUUACGCAGUAAUGAAAGUGAUCAGUGGAAGCUAGCCAUGGAGGAAGAGAUGAAAUCUCUCCAUCAAAACCAGACUUGGGAACUUGUAAAGUUACCAAAGGGGAAAAGGGCUAUUGGCAAUAAAUGGGUCUACACCAAAAAGCAAGGAUCUCCGAAUCAAACAACUCCUCGAUACAAGGCAAGGCUCGUGGCAAAAGGUUUUGCUCAAAAGGAAGGUAUUGACUACAAUGAAGUUUUGUCUCCAGUUGUAAAACAUACUUCCAUUCGUAUCCUACUUGCCUUAGUUGCAGAAUAUGAAUUAGAGUUGGCUCAGUUGGAUGUUAAGACGGCGUUCUUACAUGGAGAUUUGGAGGAGGAAAUCUACAUGAUUCAGCCUUGUGGUUUUAGAGUUGCUGGAAAGGAGAAUCAUGUGUGUAGGUUGAUUAAAUCUUUGUACGGACUGAAGCAAUCGCCAAGGCAGUGGUAUAAAAGAUUUGAUCAAUUUAUACAAGGGCAGAAAUUCACCAGAAGUGAACACGAUCAUUGUGUUUACUUUAGAAGACUACCAGAUAGAGCUUUCAUCUAUUUGCUACUCUAUGUCGACGAUAUGCUUAUAGCUUCGAAGAAUAGAGAUGAGAUCGAAAGAUUAAAGAAGCAGCUGGCUUCUGAGUUCGAGAUGAAAGACUUGGGUGAUGCACAGAGAAUACUUGGGAUGGAGAUUUGUAGAGACAAGAAGAAUGGGAGCGUAUGGUUGACUCAAAAGUCUUAUUUGAAGAAAGUGCUAGAAAGAUUCGGUAUGGAUGACAAAACUAAACCGGUAUGUACACCUCUAGCUCCUCAUUUCAAAUUAGGCUCUUCUUCAUGUCCUAAAUCUCAAGAGGAGCGCGAUUACAUGGCUCGUGUUCCAUAUGCUAGUGCUGUGGGUAGUCUUAUGUAUGCUAUGGUAUGUACAAGGCCCGAUAUAUCUCAAGCAGUAAGCAUGGUUAGUAGAUACAUGCACGAUCCGGGUAAAAGUCACUGGCUUGCAGUAAAGUGGAUUCUUCGAUAUCUGUAUGGGACAGUUGAUGUUGGGUUAUUGUUCAAGAAGGAUUGUGGUCAACAAUGUGUUGGCUAUUGUGAUUCUGAUUUCGCUGGAGACCUUGACAAGCGAAGAUCAACAACGGGCUACGUAUUCACAUUGGGUGGAGGUCCAGUUAGCUGGAGGUCAAUUUUGCAAUCGACAAUUGCUCUGUCCACUACGGAAGCAGAGUACAUGGCAACAACUGAAGCUGUAAAGGAAGCUAUCUGGUUGAAAGGCUUGUUAGGUGAUUUGGGAGUAAUCCAGGAGAACAUUACGGUCUUCUGUGAUAAUCAAAGUGCGAUAUUCCUUGCGAAGAAUCAAACAUAUCACGCUCGGACAAAGCACAUAGAUGUGAAAUAUCAUUAUGUGAGAGAGAUUAUCGAGAGCGAUGUUGUGUUGUUGAGAAAGAUCGAUACCAAAGAUAAUCCAUCAGAUAUGUUGACGAAGGUAGUUUCUGGAGUUAAGUAUCAACAUUUCUUGAAAUUAAUUCAAAUCCUUCGAUUGUGUUAAAGAUAUGUCCUUCGGGAAUUUUGAACUACGGUUGGCUUGAUCCCAAAUUUUGGGUACGUAGGCAGUCGAAACGACACAGCCAUUCUGGAUCCUUAUUGAAGGAUCACUUUGGGGAUGAGGGUUCGUUGGUAGUCGGCUCAGAUUUGGACAAAUUUUCGCCGAGGUGGAGAAUUGUUGAAAAGUCAUGCACGUGACAUUGAAAUUCAAAAAUGAAUGCAAAAUUUCAAAUGGCUACCAAACAUUUGAAGAAAAAAUGGAAAGUUGGCAAAUUUGUCAAAUUUGCCAAAUGGACACCAUUGACUAUUGGCUUAGGUUAUGUGGAAUAGUAAAAGGGUUGGUGCAAUAGUGCCAUUAUUUUCCCUAUAAAUAGAUGGCACUUCUUCCAUUCUAAAUCAUCCCAAAAUUGUUAAGCUUAUAAGUUUCUAAGCUUUUGAGAGAAGUGAGAGAAGUGUCUGAGGAAUUUAUCUUUCCUGCAGAGUGUGAGAGUACUGGGUAUAUUUGGGUUUCUGGGAAGUGAGAUUCGUUACUCAAAUAUUGUAUUCUAUUAAUUGUUAAAUAAACAAUUAUUCUUUCUUGCCUUCGUGGAUGUAGGUUUAAUUACCGAACCACGUAAAUUCUUGUGUCCUUUAUUUUUCAGUAAUUAUUUGGUGCGCUUGAUUCCGCAUUCCGCGCACAACAACACACACACACGUAGCUUGCACUAAUUAAUUAAUAAGCUGAGAGAUAACCAAGCUACCGAUACAUAACCUUGUAAACAGGACCAUAUCCACCCUCCCCGAGCUUAUUUUCAAUUAAAAAUCUAUCCGUGGCCACCUCAAUAUCAGCCAAGCUAUAUUCUCUCAGAUCAGGAUCAUUGCUGUUAAAAUCUCCAGCAUCCGCUUGUCUAUUUUCGCUGUCCUUUGAUGCUUUGGCUGAGUCAAUUACGGUCCAAUUAAUAUCAACCAAGAGAAAGAAAGCUAAUUUAAGUGAAUCGCCCACUUCUUCAUCUGUGUUAAAUGGAAUAGAAGUAAAAAUAUUCCUAAUCCCGUGUAGAAGAAGUUACCUUUUAAUUUGAGGUUUUUCAUCCAGCAGUAGUAAUACAGCAAAAAGCCUAUUAGAAGAAUACAAGCUGCAGUUAUAGGCAAAACAAUUGCCCAUAAUAGCCGCUUAUUUUGUCGAUUCCUUUCAUCCUCUUCAGCUGAAAAGUCAAAUCACUUUGUGUUAUUUAACCACUGAUGGUCAAAUAAAGAUCUUAAUUGAAGUCAUUAUGCAGAGAACUGAUCGAAUGGGUAGCAGGCAGUGAGUGAGGCUUUGCAUUUGCUUACCUGCAGCUUGAGAAAGCAUCCAAUAAUGAUCACUGGAAACUUGCCACACAUAGUAACCACGUAGCUUCUUUUCCUUGGCAUAUGCAACCUUCACUCUAACAGCCUCGACAUCAUCAAAACCAAACCAAAUCUUCCCAAUCGAGCAGUAAUUCACGACAUAAGUUGAAUUGUACAUUACUUGAACAUUAGGACGAUAGUUCUUGAUGUGAUUCUUGACUUCCUUAUAAGUCACAAGGCCAUCAUCAUGCAAAGCUGGUCCUGUUGUUGCUGCGCCAAUGCCAUUGUCCUCAGGUUUCACAAGCGUCCAUGCAUAGCCAUAAAAAGGCAAACAUAAAACCAAUUUAUCAGCCGAUAACCCUUCCUCAAUCCAUUCCGUGAUUCCAUAUUCAGUAUUAGAGACACUAUUUGGAUCAUACAGAGCCGCAUGAGCACCAGUAAAAUUUUUCCGCGUAGGGCUUGAGUAUUCGGUAGUGAUAACAUGAACCCAAUUCAAGUACUGUCUUAUCGAGUCGACUGGAUAAGCUGCUGCUGUUGAGAGUGGUGAAUAUGCGACCUUUGCUGUCAAAAUCAACUGUGAUUGGCUCGAGUUAUUUCUUGCUUCUAAAGCAACGGCAGCUCGCCAUUCUUUUAAAGAGAAUGCCAAUAUUGUACUUAUCCCAGUUUGUGUUUGCCUGAUUCCAAGACAGAUCUAAGCCUUGAAAGCCAUAAAGCCUUGCUAUUUUUAUUGAGGAGUCAAUAAAGUAUUUCCUGAAAGAAGGAUUGCCCGCCAUGGAAGAAUAACUUGAAUAGUUUGGAUUAUUGCCUCCUCCGAUGGAAAGAAGAGUAGUGAUUGAUGGGUUCUUUAUUUUGACAGUGUCUGUGAAGUUGGAGAAUUGUUUUUCAUCAGAAGGUGAUAAAGAAAGCUCAUAGGAAGUUGAGUUGACAUCGGCAAAACCACACAUAAGGUGAGUGAAAAGAGCAGAAUUUACAUCUGAAACGGGGAACCCACCGUCUGAAUCCCAGUAACCAGCUCUGAUUAAAGUUUGUGCCCUUGCAGGAAGCGAUUCUGAAAAUAUAAAAAUGUAGAGUACAAGAAUGAUAAUUUUGGAUGCCAUUGUGGGAACCUUGCUGCUUUGAGGCAAACCUAGUAUGUGAUUACAUAUAUAUGUACAGACACAAAAUGUAAUGGAGAAAAUAUCCGACACCGAUUGAGAUUUGUUAUUGGACUAUAAUACAAACUUGAGGCAACUUUCAACUCAUGAGCUUAGCUCAUAAGUCUUUAUACGGUAUCAAAGUCAAGUUUCGAAAGAGUGACUCUAUACUACCUUUCAAUUUAACAAAGAGAAAGAAAAGAGAUCAGCCUACACGUGGUAGGAAGAUAGAAAAAGUAUAUCACAUUGGCUAAGAUUAAUUACUAGGUUGAUAAUAUAAGCUCAAAACAACAUUUAACUGUUGCGGAAAUGUGGGUUGAGCAAUUACUAAUACUGCAACUUCUGAAGAAAUAUAAAUGUGGUGUUAAACAAAUGCAAAGAAAAUAUAACACAAUGAUUUACGUGGUUCGGCGUAAUGCUUACAUCCACAGGCAAAAACUAAAAGAUAAUUUUACUAACAAUGAAAAUUUACAAAAGUGAGAAAAAUUCACAAAACCCACAACCCCAAUACACCCAAAUGAAACCUAACUAGAACACUCAAAUGGAAGCUCUCGUAAAUUCUCUCAAAGAACUCACUUGCAAUUGCUCUCUCCAUUUCUUUCAAAUUGGGAUGAUUUACAAAUGCAUUUUGCUUCUCUAUUUAUAGGCAAAGCAUGCUCACCCACCACACGGCUUCAAUUUGACUUUAAUUGGCUAAAUUGACAAAUUUGGCAAUUGGUGCCAAAUUUGUCAUGCAAUGCAUGCUAGCUGUUCCAUGCCAUUUAUUCAAUUUGCAUAUUUUCAAAACCUAACUUUGCUUUUUUGAAAUUGGUAAGCCGACCAUUUGACUUUUCAACAUCAACUCCAUAACAAGCUGUAAUUUAAUAAAGUUAGGUCAACUCGAUAUUUUAUAUAGUACGUCAUGAGUGAGGAGGAGUUUAAGCUACAAAUCGCAGUCAUGAGUGAGGACAAAUUUGAUUCUCUCAAGAUUUUGCGUUUUGUACACGUUGAUCAUGGACUGAAUCAAAAUAGAAAAUAUUUUCACAGGAGUUUGCCUUCAAAUUGCACGAAUGGAACCAUAGAGGAAUACAUCGAAAAGUUUGUCUUCUUGCCAUGAUGUUAAGUGAGAAGAUUGAAGUUCUUAAAUUAAGCUAUGACGUUUUACCUCCACUUAGCUUGACUUCUGAAGCUGAAGACUCAUCCUUUUGCAUUGACUUUGUUGGUAUUUAAAUGACCUCGGAGUCUUGGACGUGUUUCUGAAGCAAUGUCAUGGUCUAUGAGUAGAUUUUAUUUUUUGGGUAAGAAAGGGAAAGUCUGUCGUUAGGAAAACAUCCUGACAACGAGAUGGUGAGAGGGGAUGAAAAAGAAAUUAUACACUUAGUUACUUCCUCAUGAUAAGAUUCAGUGGUAUUGUAAUUUUAAUAAAAAAUUAAGACCAUUUUGCCUUUUUCCUUGUGUAAUUUAAUUUUCAGUCAAGACCACCCUCCCAUUUUAGUACAGGGAAAUUAUCAUUUGUAUAUUCUUAGUUUACUCCAUUAUCAAAAAUAUUACAACACUUUGAGGGUGUAUCAAUCGUCUACCCUAAGUUGACAAAAUGUAUUAGCUGACCACCAAACCGUUAGUUGCCGUUUAAGUAUGAUGAUAUCAGAAGGGUAAUUUGGUUUUUUCAUAUGAUACAAGUGAUAAUUUAAGGGUAUACAAGUGAUAAAAAGAGAAUUUAAGGGUAUACAAGUGAUAAUUUUCAAGGGUAAAAUCGUCAAUUCACUGUAAUUCCGUUAACUUUCAAACGGCAACUAACGGUUUGGUGGUCGGCUGAUACAUUUUGUCAACUAAGGGUGGACGAUUGAUACACCCUCAAAGUGUUGUAGUAGUUUUGAUAACAGAGCAAAUAUAAGGUAUACGAAUGAUAAUUUUCCUUUAGUAUAAAAGCCUAUACAAAUGUACGUUUUACUCAAUGUUUACAUAGAAACAAAUGGCGCGAAGACGAUUUGUCAAUCUAGUACCACUCUCGUAUACUUGGUAAGAUUUGGCUUCACCAAAUUGUAGCCUAUAUUUUACUUUAAUGAGAAAAUCAAAUAAUAUAUGUUUGAACAAAUAAUUUUCUUUGCUCUAUAUACUUUCUUAAAAUGUAUGGAGUGGGUAAAGUAUAAAUUGAUCUCUUAGCCCGUUGACUCCUCCAAAAUUCAAACUCAAUUUAAUGGUAAGUUAAAUAAUGCUACUUGAAAAUCAUUCCACCAAAUAUCAUAAAAACUAUAAUUAAGUUUCACUGAUUAUUGAAUUAUAGAAUGUGCUAUCAUUUCCUAGCUAGAAUUUGUUUAAUUCUAUUAAUUUACAAUCAUUUUUAUUUUAUUUAAUUAAUUAAAGUGAAUUUAUUAUGUAUAAGUUCUAUAUAUGUAAAAUUUUAAAAUCUAAUGUUGAAUUGAAUUGUACUGAACUUUUUAUAAUUUUUUAUCACGCCUGCAAAUUUAACAGUUUUGUAUUAAUAUUGAUAGCACAUAAUAUAUAGGAUUAAGAGAGAUUGGUUUCGAGUUGCUACAAGCAUUUUGGGAUUGCAUGCACAAGGGUUUAUAAACAAAGGGUGCAAUUAAUUACCCCAAACGAGGGUGCAUUUUUAUGAUGAAAUAAAAACUACGUGCGGGGUUGUAAAAGUGGCUCCAUAAUUAAUGUACAUUAACAUUCAUCUAGCUAUCACCUCCGAAAAUGAUACAGCAUAAGCCGAGCAUUUUUCCAAUUGUGUUGUAGAUAAUAGUUCAAUCCCAAUUUCAUCAACUUGUUUUGAGAAAGGAGGCUUCUUGGGAGUAUUAAUAUUUGUGGUUCCAUUCUUGAGCAUUGAGGAAACUUCCAGCAUUGAAGGUCGGUCGUUUGGAUUCUCCUGGACACACAACAAAGCUAUUUCCAGACAUCUCAUUAAUUUACAAGGGGAAUUUGUAUUGUCUAGGAAUGAAUCCACAAACUCCACGCCUUUGCCACCUUUCCACAACUGAUAUGCCUGAAAUUAUCAAGUACCAUCUCGUUACAUAAUUUAUACUUCUUAAUUAAGUGCGCAUAUGUGUACUCAGGGUUACUAUAGCCGAAGAAACUUACGUGCUCUAGAAUGCUUAAAUUUUCAUUGAUGCCACAUAACACUGAAAGCCUCUUUCCACUUAUGAUUUGUAGAAGUAAAACUCCGAAACUAAAAACGUCUGAUUUGGUAGAGUAUACACCUUGUCUGGCGUACUCAGGAGGAAUAUAGCCUCUGCAUUCAAAAUAACCAAGUAUAUAUGAGUAAGGGAUUUUGCAAUUUAAUAAAUUUGUAAAACCCAUUUUAAAUUGUGGUAAAAGUCCAUUCCGCAUUUUAUUAAAGUGCUGAAUUCCUUAUUCGAAACCCAAUAUAUGUAUAACAAACAGAAGCUUGAGUAAAGGAUAUCAUUUAGUUGUGAUAUACUUACAUUGUUCCCACAACUUGUUCUGAUUCGCGUCGAGACUCUCUUUUGCAAAAAUUCUAGCCAUACCAAAAUUUGAAAUUUUAGGUUUCAUAUCUUGACCUAACAAAACAUUACUGGCUUUCAAGUCUCGAUGAAUAAUAGUCAGUCUUGAGUAUUCUUGGAGGUAUAAAAGUCCUUGAGUUAUCCCUUCAAUGAUAUGAACAUGUUUUUUCCAAUCCAAAAGAAGUCUUCUGAUGGGAUCUACAACAAAUAUAUAGUUUUGGACAAUAAGUGAUAUACAAGCGAAUUAUAUACACAAUUGAUAUUAACUUGAUUUCAGAACAAACCAAAAAGGUAGCAAUCCAAGCUUUUGUUUGGCAUGUAUUCGUAGACCAGCAUCCGUUCCUCACUGUCAAUGCAAAAACCUAAAACUCUAAUAAGAUUUACAUGUUGGAGUUUUGCAGUAAGAAUAACCUCAUUCUUAAACUCCUCAAAUCCCUGUGCGGAUGAUUUCGAAAGUUUCUUCACUGCUAUCACCACUCCACAGGGUAAUACACCCUGCAACCCAAAAAAAAACCACGUUCAUAUAAAGCUUUCACUAAUUAGAGACGCUGAGAAAUGUUAGCCAAACAAUAUGCUACCCCCCAAAGUUGAGGGCACCAUUUUAAGUCCUUUAGUCCCCAUGGACGCAAAAUGUAAAUCUCCUCUCACAGAAUAUGGAUAUGGGUAGAGGUAUCUUCCUCAAAUGUUAGUCAAAGUAGUUAUAUCCCUCUAGUGUGAGGUUAAAGGUCUCAUCUCUAAUAGGCAUAGAGUUUUAAAUUAUAUGUUUUGGGCCUCUGAAUUCUACGACGAGUGUACAAAUUCAAACUUCCGAUAGGAUCCAAAUUGCAACAUUGUGGAUUGUAACAAAUUAAAAUAUAGGUACACACACACACACACAUGUUACCUUGUAAACAGGACCAUAUCCACCCUCCCCAAGGUUAUUUCUAAUUGAAAAUCCCUCGGUGGCCGCCUCAAUAUCAGCCAAACUAUAUACUCUGAGAUUAGGAACAUUUCUGUUAAAGUCUCCAGCUUCUGUUUCAUUAUUUUCUCUCGUGUUUGAUGCUUUAGCAGAAUCCUCUGUUCCUAACAUCAACCAAGAGUAAAUAUUAGAUAAUUAAUUGUAUGUCAGCCUAAGUUUUAUAUAUAUAUGAAAUGCAUGCUUAAUUAUAAUUGGUAGCUGAAGCUUGUUACCUUCUAUUAACUUGAGCCUUUUCAUCUGGUUGUAUUUAUAUGCACAACAACUUAGAAGGAGAGUCAAAGCUGCCGCUGCAGUCGAAAUGAGUACCAAGGACAGAUGGCGGUUAUUACUAUGUUCAUCUUUGUCAGCUGAAGCAGAAGUAAUCCUGUCUUUUUGUGCUGGAAAUAUGUAUAGUUCAGCAAUUAAUAAUAACUAGCUAGAGAUGCCAUAACAAUCAUUAUUAAUCAGAGAGAACAAUUAUUGCAUAGAUAAAUACCUGCAGCUUGAGAAAGUACCCAAUUAUGAUCGUCAUAAUCAACUCGCCAAACAUAGUAACCAAGAAAUCUCUUCUCUUUGGCAUAGGCGAUCUUAGCUCUAACAGCCUCCACAUCAUCAAAACCAAACCAAAUCGUCCCAGUGGAGAAGUAAUUCACCACAUAAGUUGAAUUGUACAUAACUUGAACAUUAGGACCAUAGGUCUUGAUGUGAUUCUUGAUAUCCCUAUAGGUCACAAGGCCACCAUUACUCAUAGCUGGUCCUGCUGCUGCUACUCCAAUACCAUUGUCUUCAGGUUUCACAAGCGUCCAUGCAUAGCCGUAGAAAGGCAAACACAAAACCAACUUAUCAGCCAAUAACCCUCUCUAAAUCCAUGCCCUUAAAACCUGAUCAGUACUGUCAAAGAAGCUCAUAAUGCAUGGAAGGAUGCAGCACACGUGUGAGAUGAAUAUAGUCAGCUGAAUCAAUUGAAGAGUGGAGUGCCAGCUCAGCUGAAGUUAGUUAGACACGUUAAGAUCAAGUUUUAGUUAGUUCUUCAUUUUCUGUUAAGCUGAAAAACAGCUGAGUAUAAAUACAAGCAUAUUGUAAUCAUUUUGAGGUUAAGUAAAAAUAAAAUAAAGCAUUUGAUUCCAGAAUUUCUUUUACAAAUUUUCUUAGCACUUUAGAUACAUUUUCUCAGUAACCAAACAGUUUGUUCAUUCAAGCUUUUAAGCUUUCAAACAUGGUAUCAGAGCCUUACAGAGCUAGUUCCAGUAAUCAACAGUCAAGCCUUCGUAAUCAAACAACAAACAACACAAAUCAACCUACUCAAAUCAACUUCUCUUUUUCUAAUCCUAUCAAGCUAGAUCGAUCCAAUUACUUACUCUGGCGUUCUCAAGUUUUGGCCUCAAUAAGAGGCAAUCGUUUGGAAGAUUUCGUCACAAGAGCCAGAUCAGUACCUGAUAAGUGUCUUCUGUUAACUGAAGCAGAUGGAUCUACACAACAAGUUGAAAAUCCAGAAUAUCAGAUCUGGAGAUCACAGGAUCAGACACUUCUUGGCUGGCUACUGUUGUCAUUAAGUGAAGGUAUCUUAAGUCUUGUAAUCAAUUGUGAGAGUUCAUUUGAUAUAUGGAAAACUUUGGAAAAGAAAUUUGGAGUUCAAUCUGAAGCUCGAGUUCUUCAGCUCAGAUACGAACUAAACACUCUUAAAAAGGAAGCCCUUAGUGUUGAAGAUUAUUGUAUUAAAAUGAAAGCAAUAGCAGAUAAGCUGGCCAGUGCUGGUAGUUCAAUUACAGAGAAGGAUCUUAUGCUAACUAUUCUUAAUGGAUUAGGAUCAUGAUAUCGUGAUAUUGCUACAUUUAUAACUGGUUCACGAAUGGAGUUUGAUGAUGCUUAUGCACUGUUACUCACUCAUGAGACUAGAUUAGAGCAGGAGCAAGGUGACAAAAGUAUGUUUAAUGCAAACUAUGCAUACACAAAUGCAUAUUAUCCUAGAGCUUAUUUUGCACAGCCUAGAAGAAGUUUUAAACGAGGAGGUUAUUCUGGUGGUAGAACUCCUUUCUUUGGCAGAGGAAAUAUGAAUUACUCUCCAAGAAUGUUUAAUGGAGGCUUUAGAAAUGGAUAUGGCAGAGGAUUUUUUCCUGGAAAUAACUCAACUGAUUUCAAUCAUUUUCCAGCUCCUAGGAAUCCAGUACCUAGGAACUCAUCUUUUCCAGCUAGAAAUGGAUCUGCUAACAUGAGUGGAUCACAAGGAAGUUUUAAUAAUGCUGGAGAGAUGACAUGUCAGAUUUGUUUUAAGAAUGGCCAUACUGCUGAUGUCUGUUGGCACAGAUUUGUUGAAGAUUUUGUACCUGUUCCAAGAGGUUUUGGCAAGGGAAGAACACCAAGAGCAGCAUAUUUAUCAAACUUUGAUGGCUCCAUUUCUAAUCCAGAUUUUGGCUAUGAAAAUCUUAAUACUAUGUUUCCAGGUUAUGACUCUAUAUCUGGCAAUAGCUACUAUUCUGGAAUGGAUGGAUACACUUCUGGAGCAGCUAGAACAGCUUUCAUGGCAAAUUUUGAAGGGACUGCUGAUGAUGGAUGGUAUCUGGAUAGUGGGGCAACUCACCAUUUAACCAACAAUAUGGAGAAUUUGCAGAUCAAUGAAGAGUUUAAAGGUACUGAUUAGCUUAUCAUUGGAAAUGGUCAAGGUUUGUCUAUUACUCAUGUUGGACAUGCAUUUCUGGUAUUAAGAGCUUCUAAACCCUUAUCUACACAUGCUAGAAUAAAACUUAAAGAUAUGUUACUUGUCCCUUCAAUUACCAAAAAUCUAUUAAGUAUUUCUAAACUCACAUCUGAUAACCCUUUAUCUGUUGAAUUCUGUGGAAAUGCUUGUUUUGUGAAGGACAUGAAGGGUCAAGUUCUUCUGCAGGGUAUUGCUGAAAAAGGCCUUUACAAGCUGCUGCUGAACUCAAAUUCUCUUUCUUCAUCACCUACAUCUUAUCUUUGUAAAUCCCAGCCAAAUAAACUAGUCUCUAUGUUGUCUGCUUUCAAACACUCUGAUAAUGGUACUCGAGCUUGUUUUCAGUUUGUUUUAAAUAAGUGUAAUGCCAAACCUAAUGUAAUAACUUUGUUACAUAGAAAGUUUGGUCAUCCAAGCUCAAUGACAUUGAUGCAUUUGCUCAAAUCAUGUAAACAGUUUAAAGUCUCUCCAAAAGACAUGUUAUCUUCUGCAAGUACUUUAUGUGAAGCAUGUCAGCUAGGCAAAGUCCAUAAGCAACAUUUCUCAAUAACCGAAACAAAAACAAAAGAGGUAUUAGAAUUGAUCCAUACUGAUCUUUGGGGGCCUUCACCCACUGUGUCUAGAGAUGGAUACAAAUAUUACAUUAGUUUUGUGGAUGAUUACACUAGGUACUCUUGGAUCUAUCCUCUUAAGCUCAAAUCACAAGCAUUUGAAGUUUUCAAAUUGUGCAAAACUCAAGUUGAAAAUCAGUUUGAUACCAAAAUUAAGAUGCUACAAUCUGACCUUAGGGGAGAGUUUAGAGCAUUUACUGAUUUUCUCAAUCAAAAUGGAAUAAUCUUUAGGCACUCAUGUCCUUACAUCCAUCACCAGAAUGGUCUUGUUGAGAGGAAGCACAGGCAUAUAGUUGAACUAGGAUUAACCCUCAUGGCUCAAGCAAAUCUUCCUCUUCAAUUCUGGUGGGAAGCUGUUCAUACAGCAGUGUAUCAUAUUAAUAGAUUGCCUACCCCUGUUCUGAAAUUCUUAUCUCCUUAUGAGAAACUUUUCAAACACAAACCAGAUUACACAUUUCUAAAGUGUUUUGGUUGUCUUUGUUAUCCAUACUUGAGAGACUUUAACAAACAUAAGUUUGAUUUUCACACUUCUAAAUGCAUUUUUAUUAGAUACAAUCCCUCUUAUAAAGGAUACAAAUGCUUAGCAAGUUUUGGUAAAGUCUAUGUUCUUAGACAUGUCAUUUUUUAUGAAACACAUUCCCUUAUCCAAUAAACAUUGCAUUCUCAACAGAAAAUCACAUAUCUUCUAAAACCUCAGUGUCUAAUUUCUCUCAGCAACAUAUCUAUCAUCUUUCUACAAUAGCCUUACUCAACAGCAGCUUUGAAGGUCUUCAGUCAGCAAGCUCAGCAAGAAAUGAACAAAUGCCCUUUGGUCCCACACAUACAGAUGUUUUGAAUCAACAAGAACAUCCAUCACACACAUCCUUAGAGUUAUCAUCCUCAACCUCACCAUCACCAAACACAUUACUAAUGCAAUCAUCCAUUCUACAACCAGAGGAAACUUCUUCACAGAAUAUAGACCAAAUUCAAACCAGAAAUCAUUCCCAACCAUCUUCUCAUCCAAUGAUUACCAGAUCGAAAUCUGGAAUCUUCAAACCAAAGGUCUAUACAGUCACCUUAGCCAACAAAGAACCCAGUACAGUUCAAGAAGCUCUUAGUAGUCAGAAUUGGCAUCAAGCCAUGGUAGAUGAGUAUGAAGCUUUGAUGAAGAAUAAGACUUGGUCACUGGUACCAUUUUCAAAUGCAUACAAAGUAGUUGACAACAAAUGGGUGUUUAGACUCAAGCAAAAUACUGAUGGAAGCAUAGCCAAACACAAGGCCAGAUUGGUUGCCAAAGGUUUUCAGCAAACUGAAGGUGUGGAUUACUUUGAGACAUUUAGCCCAGUUGUAAAAGCUUCAACAGUGAGGAUUGUUUUGAGUUUAGCUGUGAUGCAUAAAUGGAAAAUAAGGCAAGUGGAUGUGAAUAAUGCCUUUUUGAAUGGAGAAUUGACAGAGGAUGUCUAUAUGUAUCAGCCUGAAGGUUUUAUUGAUCAACAAAAACCUAAUCAUGUAUGCAAGCUGAAGAAGGCCUUGUAUGGCUUAAAGCAAGCUCCUAGAGCUUGGUAUGACAAGCUUAAGAAUUGUCUGAUUGCUAAUUGGAAAUUUCAGAAUUCAAAGGCUGAUACCUCUCUUUUCUUCAAAGAAGUGCAGGGCUCAAUGAUACUCAUCUUAAUCUAUGUAGAUGACAUUCUAAUGACAGGACCUGACAAUGGUGAACUGGAGAAAUUCAUCUCAAAAUUCAGUAAGACUUUUGCUUUAAAAGACUUGGGAAUUCUGUCAUAUUUUCUAGGAAUAGAAGUGUCCUAUGCUGAAGAUUGCAUCUAUCUAUCUCAGAAGAAAUAUAUCUUGGAUUUGUUAUCCAAAGCUAAUAUGCAAAAUUGUAAAGGCUGUGACACUCCCAUAGUUACUGGAUCAAAGCUUCAGAAAGAAGUCACAGGCUGUUUGGGUCAAUAUAUUGAGGAUGCAACAAGCUAUAGAAGCUUAGUUGGAGGUUUACAAUAUCUAGUAUUAACCAUACCAGAGAUAGCAUUUGCUGUGCAUAAGUUGAGCCAGUAUGUGACAGCUCCAACACUCCAGCAUGUUAUGGCUUGUAAAAGAGUUCUUAGAUACCUCAAGGAGACUGCAGAUUAUGGUUUGAAGUUUUCAGCAGGUGGGGAAAUGAAGAUCACAGGAUUUACAGAUGCAGAUUGGGCAUGUGAUGUUGAUGACAGAAAAUCAAUAGGAGCCUAUUGCAUUUAUUUUGGAAGCAAUCUAAUUUCCUGGUCAUCCAAGAAGCAGGCUGUGGUUACACGAUCCAGUGCAGAGAGUGAAUAUCGUGCUCUUGCUUCUGCAAGUGCAGAGAUAACAUGGAUCCAGUCGUUAUUCAAUGAACUUAGCAUUAAGUGUACUUCAUUACCAACUAUCUGGUGUGACAAUAUAAGUGCAACAGAGUUGGCCAAGAAUCCAGUUUAUCAUUCAAGGACUAAACACAUUGAACUGGAUAUGCACUUUAUUAGAGACAAGGUUUUGGCAAAGGAGUUAGAGAUUAACUAUAUUCCCAGCGAGGAGCAAAUUGCUGAUGCUUUGACAAAGCCUCUGACAUUUAUUCAUUUCAACUAUUUCAGAGCCAAACUCAAUGUGCAACCAUGCCCCUUGAGUUUGAGGGGGACUGUCAAGGAAGCUCAUAAUGCAUGGAAGGAUGCAGCACACGUGUGAGAUGAAUAUAGUCAGCUGAAUCAAUUGAAGAGUGGAGUGCCAGCUCAGCUGAAGUUAGUUAGACACGUUAAGAUCAAGUUUUAGUUAGUUCUUCAUUUUCUGUUAAGCUGAAAAACAGCUGAGUAUAAAUACAAGCAUAUUGUAAUCAUUUUGAAGUUAAGUAAAAAUAAAAUAAAGCAUUUGAUUCCAGAAGUUCUUUUACAAAUUUUCUUAGCACUUUAGAUACAUUUUCUCAGUAACCAAACAGUCUGUUCAUUCAAGCUUUUAAGCUUUCAAACAAGUACUUCUAGCAUAGCCGCCGCUACUUGAGCCAUACAGAGCCGCAUGUGCCUCGGUGAAGUUUGUUGACAUAGGCUCGUAGUAUUCAGCUGUAACAACAUGAACCUAAUUCAAGUUUCGUUGCAUCGAUUUCAAAAGGUACGAAUUGUCUGGUGGUAAAUAACGAAAUCUUGCGGUCAGGAUCAGCUGGGAUUGCUGGCGGCCAGAGUUUUUUGCCUCUAAUUGUGUAGCAGCUCGGCACUCGUCAAAGAAUAAACCCGUAUUGGACAUAUCGGUGCUCGUGUUCGGAGCUUUCCAAGCAAAGUCUAGGCCCUGAAAGCCAUAAAGCCUAGCUAUUCUUAUUGAAGAGUCGAUGAAAGAUUUCCUGUGAGAAGAAUUUCUCACCAUUGAAGAAUAUAUAGAAUAGUUUGUAUAUCUUCCUUGUCUAAUGGAGAGAAGUGUAGUGGUUGAUGGGUUCUUUUGUUUCACAGUGCCUGUAAAUUUGGGGAAUAUUUGAUUUCCAUCAAACGGUGAUGAUAAAGAUAGCUGGUAAGUGGUGGAAUUGAUAUCAGCGUAAGAGCAGAUAAGGUGAGUGAAGAGAUCAUAAUUUAUGCCCGAAAUGGUGGACACUUCGCUUGGAUCCAAGUAGCCGACCCUGAUCCACGGUUUUGCUUUCGCGGGAUGAAAUUCUGAAUAGAACAACAUGUGGAAGAUGAUGCUGAUAAUUAUGGAUGCCAUUUGAGAGGCUUAUGCUUCUUAAUUACCACUUCGAUGGGAAUGGAAAUGAAUGCACACUAAUAGAAAUUAAAUAAACACAAGUUUCACAGUUCAUUAAGCUCUCAUGUGUACUAUUAACGUAUAGGUUCAUUUCGUUGCCCAAAAAAAUCUUAUGUGCUCCUGAUAGGGACACAUACAUUGGAUGAUAAGAUGAUGAUAGGCGAUGCGACCAUUGCCCAAGAACUAAGAUUUUCUUCUAUCGCGUGGGUGACUUUUCAUGAAGAAAAAUGAUGUUUUGAUUGACAUAUGGUUAAACCGAUGCCAUAUUUCGGGCUACAAAUAUCAGUAUUGUUUUAUUAAAUAAUUAAAAAAAUUAAUUUUACGUGCAUGUUGAAGGUAAUAUUGCAGUCUUUUGAGCCUGUGUUGAAUUUCAUUCGUGUGCGUUCAUUUAUUAUCUAUCCUCUUUUUUCUCUGUGUGUCUGCUAGCUCUAGUCAUCUUAAAAGAAUAACAUGUUUAAUUAAUGCAUGUAAAUGCACCGCAAAAGUAGUUAAGAAAGACUUGAUCAAAGAUCAGACAUUUUCUCUCUACUCAAAAAGUAGUUAUUGGACUAAUUAAGAUUCUAAUCCCUUUAAGAAAUAUUGAAAAAGGGUUACUGUCACUACUUCAGUCCUUGUUGUUACAUAUAUAUAUAUAUAUAUAUAUAUAUAUAAAUUUAAAGAAGCAUCACAUAAAUCCUUCCUAAUUAUAUUUUGUUUCAUUCAAGUUGUUGACUUAAUUUGUCUGCUUGGAAAAAUUAGUAAAAAGGUAAAAAUAAAAAAAUGUAAAUUCUACUUAUUAGACUAAAUAUAUAGUAUAAAUUUGCAGCAACCAGCAAAAGUUUGGAAUAUGAAAAAUCCUAUUAAUUUUUAAAAAAUCUCCGAAAGUUUGAAAACUAAUAUUUUAAGGUCCUUUUACAAUAACCAUAAUUAACAUGAAUUUACUAAAUUAGGCAAACCCGAAUUACUACCAUAUAAUAAAAUUUUAUAACAGAAAUAAGAAAACAAAACAAAUAGCAUCAAAUCUUAUAUCUAAAAAAAAAUCUUGAAAUAAAUAGAAAAAAUAAGAAAAUAACUAAAACUUGCAAAAUGACCAUGAAAGAAAUGAAAUUUCCGACUGAACCAAAGGGCCAAUACACAUAGCAUUAUUGGACUAGAUCUAUCAUGGUGCAAACUUCAAAACAGUAUAUUAUAUUUUCUAAAUGGACACAUAUAGGUUAAGUUAUGAUAUUAAAAAAUAUCCUAUUCAUCUUACACAACCAUUCUAUGUCACUAUAUCUAUACACUAAUAAUAUAACCCAAACAUUUAUGGAGCAUAACUCACAGACCUCCACUAAUUACACUAAAGUUUACUCUCAUUUUAUAAGAGAGAGAAAUGUUCUCGUUCUCCAUUUAUGGGGGAUUAAACCAAAUGGUCUGUUUUUGAUUUUCUGGUAAGUUGUGUAACGUUGGAGCUUUUUGGCACUUCUUUGACGAAAAGUCGUUCUCUUCGACAACCCAAAAUUCGGGCCAAUGGGCAAUUAUGAAAGUCCAUUGGAUGCAUUGGACCAAACUAAAAGUCCAUAUAUAUAUGUAUAUAUAUAUAUAUAUUCAAUAAAUGAAAUGAAAAAAUGCAAUUGGCUUGCAGUUGCAAAGCUUCUUUGUUUAUUAUUAUAUAAUAUAAUAUAAUAUAAUUUUAUAUCAUUUUGAAUAUCAAAAUUUUAUUUCAAAAUUUAUUUAACACUAGUGUUUAAUAUAAGAUACAAUACUACCAAAAUUCUAUUCAAUAGUUUAUUUAAAAUAGUAUUGACUAUUAAAAAUAAGAAUUUACACUAAUAUUAAAUAUUAAAUUCAACAAUUAGUAACAUUAUUUAAAAUAAUUAUAGUAUUUAAAUGGUUAUUUAUCUUUAUUAAAUAAGAUUUAACAUAAUCCUCUGCGACAUUUUACUAAAUAAAUACAGUACUAUAUAUAAUCCAAUCUAAUCUUAAACAAUAAUCUAUUCUAUUCCUACCUUCCAAAUAUAAACACAAUAGAUAAUGAGAGCAUGAGCUAUGAGAUUAUAAAUCAUGGAUCAAGGGAGUAGAGAUACAGACCUUGAGAUCAUAGAUCGUAGACUAUUAGAGACUAAAGACCGUGGACAAAUCCGAGUACAUUAAAAAAAGGGGAAUUUUAGUCAAAUGUAGAUUGAUAUUAAGGAAUUCAGCAAGCAAGCUACAAGAAUAUCCAAAAGCGUGUAAUUUAUGUUUAAGGAAACAAGUGGAGAUAGAGAUGAAAUUGUAAAUUCAUCCCAAUCUUAAGUGGCUUAAUUCAAGAUGUAUGUUACCUACAAGCACAAUAAUAUGUACACGUUAUGUAUACAUGCAUCACAUACGUGCGUCGAUCAUCGAUGUAAAAGUAACAGUAAAUUUCUAGUAAAACAAACAUCAUUACUUUUAGUAUAAGAUGUAAAAAAUAUCAAUUAAUAACCAUUAGAAAAUAAAAAUUUAUGUAAUUGAUGCAGAUAAAUGGAAUCAAGUAGUAACAUUUCCUUCUCAUUGAAGAGAAAAGAUUAAAAAAAAGAAAAGGGGGGGGGGGGGGGGGGGGGAGGAGCGCAAACAUGACAAUUAUUUUUAUCCGCACGUGCCAUGAUAAUCGAUAAUCCGAUAUACCAACCGCGUCUAAUUGUCUGAAUUCUCAAGCUUAUCAAGCUUGCUCAAUCGCACCGCAGACACUGACCAUGGGAGAUUAAUCACCACUCGCAGUAUUAGGCGCGUGAAGGACACAUUCGCCAAUAAUUUAUAGCGGACAGUAGCAUUCCCGAUGCUGCGCGGAGAAAAAUAGUUGGGCUUGCGAAAGUUAAAUUGACUUGACUCGACAGAGUGAAGAAUGGUGGUGGUUGCUGUUAAGCAGUCGGUACUUCUGGCGACUGCUUGGCUUACACGCAGUUCCCGGGGGUGUCAUUUGACUGUGAAAGAGAAUUUUGGCUUUAUUGAUAUCUUGUUGGAUUUGGAAUUUUGGAUGGCUUCGUGUAGACCAUAAGACACGAUAUCGUUCAUAACACGUUAGCAUUCUUUCUCACGGGAGAAAAACUCGGGUGGGAGCAGAUGUACCAUCUCAACUGCCGUUUAUAAAUGGCUGUCAAAUAAUUAAUCAAAAUUUUAUUAUUUACGGUUAUAAUUGGAAUGAUAAAAAAUCAAUUCGAUGUUAUUCUUUGUGGCUCUGCUUAGAAUACUAAAAAAUCAAAUCGACUUAUUUAUUUUUAUAUUGAUCAUUACAAGUCUCUUGAAUUUUUUACCUACUUCAUUAACUUGUUAUUUUGAGUUGUACGUAACAUGGCUUUUUUUGUUUUUUACUUUACUUUGGUUUUCUUUAUAACCCAUAAAAAUUUUCUUGUUAAGACUGUGUGAACCAAUUGAAACUUCAGAUUCAUACUAGAACUAUGAUGAUUUGAUAAGAGCUUCAAAUUAAAUCCACAGAUUCUAUGAAAAGAAAAGAAAAGAAAAAGUCUUUUAUUGGUAAAAGAAGAAAGCUCUUCGGCACUGAUCCGAAGAAAAAUCAUUCUCCAUACAAUGAGCAAAACAAAGUCCAAUUCGCAUUACAUAGAAGUAAAACCGAAGCAUUGGACUAAAAGCAUACAUUAGUCUUAUUUUUCGUUACUGAUAACAUUUUUUUUCCCUUAUAUUAUCACCUUAAUUAAGAAAAAUAAUAAUUUGUUUAACUAAUUACAAAAAAGGAUGGCUAUAUACAAUAUUCUUGUGUUGGAUGGCCUUAAAAGUCAAUUCUUUUGAAACAGGAAAACUGGUAUCGUUUUUCAAAACACAAAAAUAUUAUGUUAAGAAAAUGAAUGGUCUUUAAGAGUUAUGACAAUGAUAUCAAUAAAAUUACAAAAUCUUAAGAGUUUAUAGAUGUAGUUAGUGAUAUUACAUUACAUUAAUUAAUACAAUGCAAAUUGUUUACUAAUAGAGCCUCAGGAGAGUGAUUCAUUAUUUAGUUGGCCAAUUAAACAACUGCAGCAGUCACUAGCAGCUUGCCAAGAGCUAGCAUAGAUCAAUUGUUCAUCUACCAACCAAUUUUGAAAUUGUUACAUCAUUACUUGAACAUAUUUCCAAUCCAAUCGUGGCUUUGUUUUGUUCAUCUUCAUAAGCUUUGUUUGAGAAACUUGCAGGCUUCUUUGGAGUCAUUAUAUCAGCUGUAUUUUCAUUUUCGAUCAACGAAGAAAUUUCUAGUAUAGAAGGUCUAUUGUUUGGGUUCUCCUGAACACAUAGCAAAGCUACUUGCAGACAUGUCAAUAAUUUCCAUGAGGAAUGCGUAUCAUCUAGUGAUGGAUCCAUUAACUCCGUGCCUUUCCCAUCCUUCCACAACUCGUAUGCCUGAAAACAUCAAAUAUGUUAUUGACUAACAUUCAAUUAAUUAGCACUGUAAUGUUUUGAUUCAGUGAAUAUUAAAAAGGGGGUUAUGAAGAAACUUACAUACUCUACAAGGCUUAGAUUUUCAUUUUGACCAUAUCGAAUGAAAAGUCUUCGCCCACUUAUAAUUUGCAGAAGCAAAACCCCAAAACUGUAGACAUCAGAUUUAGUGGAGUAGAUGCCUCUUCCGACAUAUUCAGGAGGGAUAUAGCCUCUGUAGUAUCAAGUAAUUAUAAAUGUCAGUGUUUGACAUAAAAGAUUAAGUUGAUUGGUAAAGGUUCAACAAUAAUAUUAAAGGCAUGUCAGACAAUAAUAGACAAAUAUACACUUACUGUGUUCCAACAAUUCGAUUUGUGUUUGCUUCAAGAUCAUCUUUCACAAAAAUUCUAGCCAAGCCAAAAUAUGAUAUUUUAGGUGUCAAAUCUUCAUCCAACAAAAUAUUACUAACUUUUAAGUCUCGAUGAAUAAUUGUUAAUCUAGAAUAUUCUUGGAGAUAGAGAAGCCCCUGAAUAAUUCCUUAAAUGAUAUAAAUACGUUUUUUCAAAUCCAAAAUAAGCCUUCGGAUGGGAUCUGCAUCAAAUGUAAACUUAGUUGGACGGUCAGCACCAUUAGCAUUUGGAGACAGAGAAAUGCAAAUUGAGGCACAAAAAUUAGAAAUUAAGCAGUUAAGCACACACCAAAAAGGAAAUAGUCUAAGCUUCGUUUUGGCAUAUACUCAUAGAUGAGCAUAUAUUCUUGCGUGUCGAUGCAAAAACCCAAAACUCUGAUCAAAUUUAUGUGUUGAAGCUUUGCAGUAAGCAUAACCUCAUUCUUGAACUCCUCAAAUCCUUGUGUGGAUGUCUUCGAGAGUUUCUUCACUACUAUUAUUUGUCCAUCAGGUAAUGCACCCUGCAAGCACCCCCCAAAAUAUAUGUUUUUUUAAAAAUCAGUGUGUUCACACACACACACACGUAGCUUGCACUAAUUAAUUAAUAAGCUAAGAGAUAACCAAGCUACCGAUACAUAACCUUGUAAACAGGACCAUAUCCACCCUCCCCGAGCUUAUUUUCGAUUGAAAAUCUAUCCGUGGCCACCUCAAUAUCAGCCAAGCUAUAUUCUCUCAGAUCAGGAUCAUUGCUGUUAAAAUCUCCAGCAUCUGCUUGACUAUUUUCGCUGUCCUUUGAUGCUUUGGCUGAGUCAAUUACGGUCCAAUUAAUAUCAACCAAGAGAAAGAAAGCUAAUUUAAGUGAAUUGCCCACUUCUUCAUCUGUGUUAAAUGGAAUAGAAGUAAAAAUAUUCCUAAUCCCGUGUAGAAGAAGUUACCUUUUAAUUUGAGGUUUUUCAUCCAGCAGUAGUAAUACAGUAAAAAACCAAUUAGAAGAAUACAAGCUGCCGUUAUAGGGAAAACAAUUGCCCAUAAUAGUCGCUUAUUUUGUCGAUUCUUAUUUUCCUCUUGAGCUGAAAAGUCAAAUCACUUUGUGUUAGUUAAACAUUUGAUGGUCAAAUAAAGAUCUUAAUUGAAGUCAUUAUGCAGAGAACUGAUCAAAUGGAUAGCAGGCAGUGACUGAGGCUUUGCAUUUGCUUACCUGCAGCUUGAGAAAGCAUCCAAUAAUGAUCAUAGGAAACUAGCCACACAAAGUAACCACGUAGUUUCUUCUCCUUGGCAUAUGAAACCUUCACUCUAACGGCUUCGACAUCAUCAAAACCAAACCAAAUCUUCCCAAUCGAGAAGUAAUUCAUCACAUAAGUUGAAUUGUACAUAACUUGAACGUUAGGACCAUAGUGCUUGAUGCGAUUCUUGAUUUCCUUAUAAGUCACAAGGCCGCUAGAAUACAAAGCUGGUCCUGUUGCUGCUGCACCAAUACCGUUGUCCUCAGGUUUCACAAGCGUCCAUGCAUAGCCAUAGAAAGGUAAACAUAAAACCAAUUUAUCAGCCGAUAACCCUUCCUCAAUCCAUUCCGUGAUUCCGUAUUCAGUAUUGGAGAUACUAUUUGGAUCAUACAGAGCCGCGUGAGCACCAGUAAAAUUUGACCACAUAGGUUUUGUGUAUUCAGUAGUCAAAACAUGAACCCAAUUCAAGUAUUGACUUAUCGAGUCGACUGGGUAAGCUCCUGCUCUUGAGAAUGGUGAAUAUGCGACCAUUGCCGUCAAAAUCAACUGUGAUUGGCUCGAGUUAUUUCUUGCUUCUAAAUCUACGGCUGCUCGCCACUCUUUAAAGAGAAUGCCAAUAUUGUACUUAUCCCAGCUUGUGUUUGCCUGAGGCCAAGAGAGAUCUAAGCCUUGAAAGCCAUAAAGUCUUCCUAUUUUUAUUGAGGAGUCAAUGAAGGAUUUCCUAGAAGAAGGAUUGCUCGCCAUGGAAGAAUAAGUUGAAUAGUUUGCAUCAUUUCCUCCGAUGGAAAGAAGUGUAGUGAUUGAUGGGUUCUUUAUUUUGACAGUGUCAGUGAAGUUAGAGAAUUGUUUUUCAUCAGAAGGUGAUAAAGAAAGCUCAUAGGAAGUUGAAUUCGUUGAAACAAAAACAAACGUUAUGCCUUUGAUCGUGCAUUUCCAAAUAAACACAUAUUUUAGGUAAUUCCGAAAUUUACCACGAUCUCCCAUGAAUCCGAACUUGCAGCUUGUUAUGGAGCUUCAACAGAGUUGCUGCUGCUUCGGUCUAGCUUCUGAAUUCCGCUUUCUUUUCCUUCAGCUCCAGAUUCGGCUUUUCUCAGUAAGUUACUGUACACACACGGGAGAGAAACGGGAGAGAGAGAGAUGCACUGCACUCAUGCCAGAGAUUUCUUGAACAGUCAACUUCCAAUGGGCUGAAGUUACUUAAAUACAGUGGUUGAGCGCAGGGAACCCUCAUGUGUUAGUACAAAAUUACCCAUCCCAUUAUGGGCUUAAAUAACACAAUUAAGGAUAUACUUGUCCAUAAUAUACUACUGUACAGGGUAUGUCAAAAUUAGACUCAUUAACACCAUAUUUGAUCACUUAAUAAAUGAGUCUGUCAAAAUUGCUCAACAAUAUUUGACUUUAGUCACGUAUUAAUUCGGUAAAAUAUAGAAAAUAAUUAGAAUGAUUUAUGUCAGUCCACAUAAUGUGAGAAAUAAAUCUAACAGAAUUGACAUUAGCAAAACCACAUAUAAGGUGAGUGAAAAGAGCAGAAUUUACAUCUGAAACGGGGAACCCGUUGCCUGAAUCCCAGUAACCAGCUCUGAUUAAAGUUUGUGUUCCUGCAGGAAGCGAUUCUGAAAAUAUAAAAAUGUGGAGGACAAGAAUGAUAAUUUUGGAUGCCAUUGUGGGAACCUAGCUGCUUUGAGGCAUACCUAGUAAGUGAUUACAUAUAUAUGUACACACACAAUGUAAUGGAGAAAAUAUCCGAUAGCGAUUGAGAUUAGUUAUUGGACUAUAAUACAAACCUGAGGCAACUUUCAGCUCAUGAGCUUAUCUCAUAGGUCUUUAUACGAUAUCAAAGUCAAGUUACGAACGAGUGAUUCUAUACUACCUUUUAAUUUAACAAGGAGAAAGAUAAGAGAUCAACCUACACGUGACAGGGUGAUAGAAAAAAUUUAUCACAUUAGCUAAGAUUAAUUACUAUGUUAAUGAUAUAAGCUCAAAACAACACUCAACUCAAUAACAAGUUGUAAUUUAAUAAAGUUAGGUCAACUCGAUAUUUUAUAGAGUAUGUCGUGAGUGAGGAGGAGUUUAAGCAACAAAUCGAGCUCAUGAGUGAGGACACGUUUGAUUUUCACAAGAUUUUGCGUUUUGUGCACGUUGGUCAUGGACUGAAUCAACUUAGAAAAUAUUUUCACAAGAUUUUGCCUUCCAAUUGCAUGGAUGGAGUUAUAGAGGAAUACAUCGAAAAGUUCGUCUUCUUGCCAUGAUGAUAAGUGAAAAGAUUGAGGUUCUUAAAUUAAGCUAUGACCUUUUACCUCCACUUAGCUUGACUUUUGAAGCUGAAGACUCGUUCUUUUGUAUUGACUUUGUUGGUAUUUAAAUGACCUCGGAGUCUUGGACGUGUUUCUGAAGCAAUGUCAUGGUCUAUGAGUAGAUUUUUUUUUUUGGGUAAGAAAGGGAAAGUCUGUCGUUGGGAAAACAUCCUGACAACGGGAUGGUGGGAGGGAAAAAAAAAAAAAAAUUAUACACUUAGGGUCUGUUUGGAAAAAUGAUUAUAGGGUAUUAUAAUACUAUUCAUAUUGACUUAAUAUCAAUACUAUUCACAUCGAGUUUAGCUUAAUGUGGUAGUUGCCGCAUUAACGUUUUGCUUUUGUUUUUUUUUUUUUACUUUUGCUUUUUAAUAAUAAUAAAUAAUUAUAACUUUUUAAUUUAAUAUAUUAUUAUAUAAUAUCAAUUAUUAUUUUUUAUUUUUACCUCAAAAUUAUUAAAAUAAAUUAAUAAUUUUAUAAUUUAUUAUUCAUAUUUUAAUUUUUAUUAUAUUAAAAAUAUAACUAAAUAAUGUAUUAUUUAAUUAUAUAAUAAUUAAUAUAUAAAAUUAAUUAAUAUUUAAUAAGUUAAUAUAACUAACAAUAAGUACUUAAAUAAUAUAUAAAAAUUGAUUAUUAUUUAGAAAUUUAAUAUAACUAACAAUAAAUAUUUAUAUAUGAAUAAAUUUAAAUAAUAUUAAUUUAAAAUUAAUAUCAACAAAAAUAAUAACGUAAAAUAUCAUUAUGUUAUGAUAUUAUUUAGAGAUUAUUUGAUUAAAUUAUUUACUUCGAUCUUUAUUUCACAUGUUAUAUAUUUAGAAAAUACUGAAAAAUAAAUGUUAUGCUGCCGAAAAUAUAAGGCUAUAAGUUUCGAUCUUUACAAAAAAUUGUGAUGCUUUUUAACAUUUAUACUAAAAAAUAAUGUUAAAUUUCUAAAAUUUAAGACUUAUAUAUUUAGUAGUUUUCUAGGUACUAUAAAUAUUAUUUCCUAAAUAUAUAAUUUAAGUUAAUCACAAAAAAUUAAUACAAUAUAGUGUAGCAUCAAACGUUGUAUAACAUUAUUAUAAUAUAGUGCUAAUACAAUACAGCAUAAUGCAAUACACAUCCAUUAAAAUAAUAUAACAUAGUGUGCUAAACUCACCAUUAAUUACUUCCUAAUGUUAAAAUUCAGUAGUAUUGUAAUUUUAAUAAAAAAUUGAGACCCUUUUAUCAUUUAGAUGUAAUAUACUUACAUUGUUCCCACAACUUGUUUUGUAUUCGCUUCGAGACUCUUUUGCAAAAAUCCUAACCAUACCAAAAUCUGAAAUUUUAGGUUUCAUAUCUUGACCUAACAAAAUAUUACUAGCUUUCAAAUCUCGAUGGAUAAUAGUCAGUCUUGAGUAUUCUUUGAGGUAUAAAAACCUUUGAGUCAUCCCUUCAAUGAUAUGAACACGUUUUUUCCAAUCCAAAAUAAACCUUCUGAUGGGAUCUACAACAGAUAUAUAGUUUUAGACAAUAAGUGAUAUGCAAAUGAAUUAUAUACACAAUUAAUAUUAACUUGAUUUCAGAACAAACCAAAAAGGUAGCAAUCCAAGCUUUGUUUGGCAUGUACUCGUAGACUAGCAUUCGUUCCUCACUGUCAAUGCAAAAACCUAAAACUCUAAUAAGAUUUACAUGUUGGAGUUUUGCAGUAAGUAUAAUCUCAUUCUUAAACUCCUCAAAUCCCUGUGUGGAUGCUUUCGAAAGUUUCUUCAUUGCUAUCACCUCUCCGCAGGGUAGUAUACCCUGCAACCAAAAAACAAAUGUUCAUAUAAAGCUUGCACUAAUUAAAUAAGUUGAGAAAUGUUUGCCAAACAAUAUGUUUCCCUCCAAAGUUGAGGGCACCAUUUUAAGUCCUUUAAGUCCCCAUAGACGCAUGAAUCUCCUCUCAGAAAAUAUGGAUAUGGGUAGACAUAUCUUCCUAAAUAUUAGUAGAAGUAGUUAUAUCUCUCUAGUGCGAGGUCAGAGGUCUCAUGUCUAAUAGGUAUAGAUUUUUAAAUUAUAUGUUUUGGGCCUCUGAAUUUUACUCUAAGUGUAUGAAUUCAAAGUUCCGACAGAAUCCAAAUUGUAACAUUUGUGGAUUUUGUGUGUGUGUGUGUGUUAACUUGUAAACAGGACCAUAUCCACCUUCCCCUAGCUUAUUUCUAACUGAAAAUCCCUCGGUGGCCGCCUCAAUAUCAGCCAAACUAUAUACUCUGAGGUUAGGAACAUUUCUGUUAAAGUCUCCAGCUUCUGCUUCAUCAUUUGCUCUCGUGUUUGACGCUUUAGCAGAGUCCUCUGUUCCUAACAUCAACCAAGAGUAAAUAUUAGAUAAUUAAUUAAAUUUCAGUCUCAGUUACAUGUAUAUGAGUGAAAUACAUACUUAAUUAUAAUUAAUAACUGAAACUUGUUACCUUCAAUUAAGUUGAGCCUUUUCAUCCUGUUGUAUUUAUAUGCACAAAAGCCUAGAAGGAGAGUCAAAGCUGCCGCAGCAGUCGAAAUGAGGACCAAGGACAGACGCCGGUUAUUACUAUGUUCAUCUUUGUCAGCUGAAGCAGAAGUAAUCCUGUCUUUUUGUGCUGGAAAUAUGUAUAGUUCACCAAUUAAUAAUAACUAGCUAGAGAUGCCAUAACAAUCAUUAUUAAUCAGAGAGAACAAUUAUUGCAUAGAUAAAUACCUGCAGCUUGAGAAAGCACCCAAUUAUGAUCAUCAUAAUCCACUCGCCACACAUAGUAACCAAGCAAUCUCUUCUCUUUGGCAUAGGCGAUCUUAGCUCUAACAGCCUCCACAUCAUCAAAACCAAACCAAACCGCCCCAGUGGAGAAGUAAUUCACCACAUAAGUUGAAUUGUACAUAACUUGAACAUUAGGAGCAUAGUUCUUGAUGUGAUUCUUGAUAGUCCUAUAGGUCACAAGGCCAUCAUUAGUCAAAGCUGGUCCUGCUGCUGCUGCUCCAAUACCAUUGUCUUCAGGUUUCACAAGCCUCCAUGCAUAGCCAUAGAAAGGCAAAGACAUAGCCAACUUAUCAGCCGAUAGCCCUCUCUCAAUCCAUGCCUUUAAAACCUGAUCGGUACUUUUAGCAAAGCCGCCGCUACUUGAGCCAUGGAGAGCCGCAGGUGGCGCAGUGAAGUUUGUUGACAAAGGCUCGUAGUAGUGUUCAGUAGCAACAUGAACCCAAUUCAAGUUUCGUUGCAUCGAAUUCACAAGGUACGAAUUGUCUGGUGGUGAAUAAUGAAACCUUGCGGUCAGGAUCAGCUGGGAUUGCUGGCGGUUAGAGCUUUUUGCCUCUAAUUUUGUGGCAGCAGCUCGCCACUCGUCGAAAAGUAAACCAAUAUUGAGCAUAUCGGUGCUUGUGUUAGGAGAUGUCCAAGCAAAGUCUAGGCCCUUAAAGCCAUAAAGCCUAGCUAUUCUUAUUGAAGAGUCGAUGAAAGAUUUCCUGUGAGAAGAAUUUCUCACCAUUGAAGAAUAUAUAGAAUAGUUUGUAUUUCUUCCUUGUCCAAUGGAGAGAAGUGCAGUGAUUGAUGGGUUCUUUUGUUUCAUUUGUUUCACAGUGCCUGUAAAUUUGGGGAAUAUUUGAUUUCCAUCAAAUGGUGAUGAUAAAGAUAGCUGGUAUGUGGUGGAAUUGAUAUCAGCAGAAGAGCAAAUAAGGUGAGUGAAGAGAUCAUAAUUUAUGCCCGAAAUGGCGGAAACAUCGCCUGAAUACAAGUAACCGACCCUGAUCCACGGUUUUGCUUUCGCGGGAUGAAAUUCUGAAUAGAAAAACAUGUGGAAGAUGAUGCUGAUAAUUAUGGAUGCCAUUUGAGAGGCUUAAGCUUCUUAAUUAUUACCACUUCGAAGGGAAUGGAAAUGAAUGCACACUAAGAGAAAUUAAAUAAACACAAGUUUCACAGUUCAUUAAGUUCUUAUGUGUACUAUUAACGUAUAGGUUCAUUUCGUUGCCCAAAAAAAAUCUUAUGUACUCCUGAUAGGGACACACACAUUGCAUGUUAAGAUGAUGAUAGGCGAUGCGACCAUUGCCUAAGAACUAAGAUUUUCUUCUAUCGCC